rnacentral:lncRNA from 1 species
UUAAAUUUUAUCCCAAGACAAAUUCAUGGAAGGAGGGUACAAAUUGCUGCUCAUGGGAUGGGGUCACUUGCCAUCACCUAAAUGCUCAUGUUAUUGCCCUUGACUUGAGCUGCAGUUGCCCUUAACACGAAGUUGAUGCAAUUGAAGGUGAAUGAAAUUUAGUUUGAAAUUUUUAAGAUUUUUUAAAUUAUAAAAGAUUACAAAAAAUGUUAGUUUAACAAUUGUUCAUGGCCGAAUUGAGCCCGCCGAAAAUUGAGAGGGUUUGGGUAAAAAUAUAGGCUUGAAAAAUGAGUUUGGACACAAAAAUAAGGCCCAUUUUUUAAAUGGAUCGGGUCUCGAGUAAGACAUCUUUUGCUCGAGCCCGGCCGAAAUUAACAAAAAGAUAAAAAAAUGAUGUUUUAAUGUUAUUUUCUUAUUUUCUCCCUAUUUUGCUAUCAUUUUACUAUUAUGUUGCUACCAUUUUAUUGUUAUUAUUUGAAUAUUGAAUAACAUUUAUUUUAUUGUUAAUUUUGUUAUUAUUUUAAAAGCAUUUGUUUGCUAAGUUACAUCUAUCUUUGUGUUACUUAAUUAUAUAUAUUUUUUAAAAAUUUAUUUUCAAUUUGUUGAGAAAUAAUUAUUUUAAUAUUUUUAGUAUUUUUGAUGUAUUACAUAUAUUUAAGAUUUUGGUUGGGACUAGCCCGAACCUAGAUCGGCUCAUGAACACCUCUAUUCAUUACCAUGUAUUAUCUAUUUUAGAGGUAAAGAUUAUCUUCGCAAAUUUAUCUUUUGAGAAAAGAUAUCUCACUAGCAAAAAGGUGGCGAUAUAGGAUUAAUUUCUUCUUUAACACCGUAGAUACUCGGUUUUAGUUAUUAAUAUUUUUAUCUCUUUUUUGAGAUAAAUAAUUAUAUGUCAGGAAGUUAUACUAUUAAGUGUGAAACAACUAGCAUCACGUUUUACUUAAUAUCUCUUCUAGAACAAUAAUACAAUUGUUCUAAAUAAGAGUUGUUCUAAACAUAAAUAUUCUGAAAUAAGAAUUAAUACUACAAAAGUUUAACCCAUAAAUUUGUUGCGGAAGCGACGAUAAUAUUAAUAACAAUAUUAUCAGAAAUAUUUAGAUAAUUAUUAUGCCAACAAUUAUACUAAGAAAAUUCCCAGUUAAAUUGGAGGGGUCACAAAUGGUCCCGCUUAAAACCCAACAACUAGACAGAACUCACUUAGAUAUUUAUAGCAAUAAUAACUAAAUAAAUAUAACCAACAUAAAGCUAUUAAAUAUAAGCAAACAAAUAAGAAAUAAAAUACCAGAGAUUUAACGAGGUUCGGCCAAUUUAGCUUACGUCCUCGGACACUUCCAAAUUAAUAUUUCUUCUAGAAAUAUUACAAAGGAGAAGAUUUUGGGAUGAUACAACCAAAGGGGGAGGGGUUCUAUAUAUAACAAACCAAACCCCCUCCCUUUCUAUCUUUUCCUAAUGUGGGAUAUUGCCAAUAUUCAACAAAUCUCCACCUUGGCGAUAUUCCACAUCUUCGAACAUCUUCUCAUAACACUAACCUCAAUAGUGUCUUCAAAUUUGCAACCAAUCGCCUUCUUCCCUUUUGGUAGUUGUGCCAGCUUCCACGUCUUGUUUUUCUCUAGAGAUUGCAUUUCCUCUUCCAUUGCACCUAACCAUCUAUUAUUCUCUAAACUCUGAAUGGCUUUGGUGUAAGUGGAUGGAAUAUUAUCAACAACUGGAAGUGCAUAAGCUACCAUGUCAGUGAAACGAGCAGGUUUCUAAAUUUCUCGUCUCUGCCUUCUGACUGCAAUUGGCUCUGAUUGCUGUUGAGGUUCUUGGGUAGAAACCUCUUCCUCAUCUGACUCUGCAUCUGCCAAUGAAGAAUCACUAGUGGUACCUUCUGCUGGAAUUACCACACUCUGCUCAAACUCCACCUGCUGCGGAGUACACUCCACCUGCUGCGAAGUACUACUCACUCCUUCUGGAUUUACCUUAUUGAACAUGGCAGAUUCAUGAAAGGUAACAUCCCUACUGAUUAUCGUCUUCUUUGCCUCUAGACACCACAAACGAUAUCCCUUAACACCAGCAUUGAAGCCCAUGAAUAGAGCCUUCUUUGCUCUUGGAUCUAACUUUGAUUCUUUCACAUGAUAAUAUGCAAUAGAACCAAAAAUGCGCAAGGUGUCAUAAUCAGUAGCAGGUUUUCCAUACCAUUUCUCCAAAGGAGUCUUGCCAUUUAUAGCAGAUGAUGGCAAAUGAUUGAUGAGAUGUUGAGCGUACGUCACAGCCUCAGUCCAAAACUUUCUAUCUAAUCCAGCAUUAGAUAACAUACAUCGAACUUUCUCCACAAGCGUUUGAUUCAUACGCUCUGCCACCCCAUUCUGUUGCGGUGUUCCACCUACGGUGAAGUGCCUUACUAUGCCACAAUCUUGGCAUAUCUUCAGGAAUGGAUCGCUUUUAUAUUCUCCACCGUUGUCUGAUCGGAGAACCUUAAUCUUCCUUCCUGUCUGAUUUUCAACUUUAGUUUUCCACUUAAGGAAAACUUCAAGCACCUCAUCUUUGUUCUUCAUAGGAAACACCCAAACUCGUCUGGAAAAAUCAUCAAUAAAUGUGACAAAAUAACGUCUUCCUCCAAGUGAUGGAGUCUUGGACGGUCCCCAUACAUCAGAAUGCACAUAAUCCAGAAUACCUUUAGUAUUGUGAAUCCCAGUGCCAAAUUUCACCCUUCGUUGUUUUCCCAGAACACAAUGCUCGCAAAAUUCAAGUUUGCAAGUCUUUGUACCUUUCAAUAAUCCUUGCUUGGCUAGAGUUUGCAAGGAUUUUUCACCAGCAUGGCCCAAACGCAUAUGCCACAGCUGUGUUGCCUCAGCGUCCUUCUUGGUACUCGAAAUUGCUGCUGCUGUUGUCCCAACCACUGUACUACCUUGGUAGUAAUACAGAUUAUUUUUUCUUAUGCCUUUCAACAUCACCAAUGCUCCUGAAGUUGCUUUAAGAACUCCAUCUCGUAUUGUCACAACUAGGCCUUUAGAUUCUAACGACCCCAAAGAGAUGAGAUUCUUCUUCAACUUUGGGACAUAUCGUACAUCCCGCAAAAUUCUAGUAGAUCCAUCAUGACUCCUCAGUUUAAUUGAACCUAUCCUGGCUAUUUUACAUGUGUUAUCAUUACCCAUGUAAACAACCCCUUCAUCUAGUUUUUGAAAUUCAAAGAACCAUUCCCGAAUGGGACACAUAUGAUAGGAACAACCAGAAUCCAUGAUCCACUCAUCUGCAUAUAAUGUUGAAGAUGUCAUACUAAGAGAAAAGUCUGACUCUGCUUCACUAUUGCAUUCUGCAACAUUUGCAUCUUGCGGAGUCUUCCCUUUUUUCUUCAAUUUUGGACAAUCUUUCUUCCAAUGUCCUUUUUCUUUGCAAAAGGAACAUUCAUCUUUGGCAACAGCUCGACCUUUGGACUUUCUUCUCUUCCCAUUAGACUGACUUUGCUGACGACCUCUUGUUACCAAUGCUUCCACUGCUGCUUCACCUGAACCUUUCAACUUAUCCUUUCGGCGUAGUUCAUAGCUAUACGAUGCAGCAGUUACUUCAUUGAAAGUUACUUCCGAUUUUCCAUGAAUUAGAGUAGUUUUAAGGUACUCAAACUCCUCAGGAAGCGAUCCCAACAACAUUAACUCCAAGUCUUCGUCUUCAAAAGUCACAUCCAAAUUCAACAAAUCAGCCACCAGCUGAUUAAAAUUGGUAAUGUGCUCGUUCAUCGUGGUACCAGGAACAUAAUUGAAACGAAACAGUCUUUUCUUCAUAUGCAACUUAUUUUGACUGUUCUUCUUCAAGAAUUUCUCCUCCAAUGCUUUCCACAAUUUACUUGCAGAAGUCUCUUUACUGAAUGUAUACUUCUGCUCUCUGGAAAGACAUGAUCGAAUUGUACCACAUGCCAAUCGGUUGAUGGUCUUCCAUUCUUUAUCAUCAACCCCUUCUGGUUUUUCUUCCUCAAUGGCAAUAUCUAGACCCUGUUGAAAGAGGGCAUCUAGAAGCUCACUUUGCCACAUGUCGAAAUGACCUGUUCCAUCAAAAAUUUCCACUACAAAUCUCGUAUUUGCAGUUCCAAUCCUCGGCAAAAUGUACGAAGUGGAAGUUGUUGAUAUGGAUGGUUUUUCUUCUGUCAUUUUUGCCAUAGCUUCUACUUAAUAGCCACCAAAUGCAGAAUACCCACAAGCUUUAGGAAAUGUUUCUGAUGUGUAAGAUCAGACUAAGCUGCAAACACAAAGCAUACUACAAAACCUUGGCUCUAAUACCAAUUGUUGCGGAAGCGACGAUAAUAUUAAUAACAAUAUUAUCAGAAAUAUUUAGAUAAUUAUUAUGCCAACAAUUAUACUAAGAAAAUUCCCAGUUAAAUUGGAGGGGUCACAAAUGGUCCCGCUUAAAACCCAACAACUAGACAGAACUCACUUAGAUAUUUAUAGCAAUAAUAACUAAAUAAAUAUAACCAACAUAAAGCUAUUAAAUAUAAGCAAACAAAUAAGAAAUAAAAUACCAGAGAUUUAACGAGGUUCGGCCAAUUUAGCUUACGUCCUCGGACACUACCAAAUUAAUAUUUCUUCUAGAAAUAUUACAAAGGAGAAGAUUUUGGGAUGAUACAACCAAAGGGGGAGGGGUUCUAUAUAUAACAAACCAAACCCCCUCCCUUUCUAUCUUUUCCUAAUGUGGGAUAUUGCCAAUAUUCAACAAAAUUCAUACUUAAAUUAUAUAAAUUUUUUUCCAUCGUGAUGGUGAGAAAUAUCAUUUAAACUAGUUUUUUUCCCAAAUGAGUACAUUUAAACUAGAAAUCCUUGUGCUGACCGACCGGGCAAUGAUAUGAAUUUGAGGUAGUAAAAUAAGGAUUAGGUGGUUUUAGAAUGUUAAAAAUUGCAACAAUUAUUGUUGCAUAUAAUAGCGAGGGGUCUGAAACAUGAAUGUAUGCAGCUGUUAUUUCAGGAGUACAUAGUUGCAGCUGUUUAUGUCUUCUUGAAUGACUUCAACUGUUUUCCUACUAAAAAAUCCAUAUUACAACUCUCUUAAAGCAAUCAAGAAAAAGAAAAUCUCCCCCAUCAAAAUAUAUCUAAUGGUAUUAAUGAUGGAAUUAACAGGUUAUGUUUAUAGCUAACAAGACAAUCAAGCUGUAGAGAUAUAUAUUUUGAACUCAUGAGCUUAAUAUGAUUUAUUGUGGUGCAACCAUGUAUGUCUUCUUUCUUGAAUUUCAAUUUUUAGUAGACAUUAUACUGCUUACCAUAAAAAAAACAUUUAGAAUUACAAAAGAUUCAAUUAUUCAAGUUUGAGGUGCAUUUAUAAACAUGUGAUAAUCAGAAUUCAUGAACAUAAGGUAUGGUUUGAGCCUUUGUGUCAUGCAUUUAUGUUGCAGAGGUUCAAACACGAAUAAUUCAACCUGCCUUUGUGUAUUCUUAAUUUUGUGCCAAACCUAUAUAUCUAUCGACAAAUUUAAGAGUAAUAUUUACAAUAGCAUUGCAGAGUAACAUAUAUAUUUAAGAUUCGAUUACACUGUCAAAAGAUUUCAGCAACGAUGAGAUUAAUCCAAUUACAGGAAUUGAUAUCCUAAAUGGCUUUUAGGUAGCUUCAUUGACCGUACAAACUAUUUAAAAUUUCCAGCAUUCAUGUCUUUACUUUCCCUCAAGAAAAUGUAGUCAAUACUGCAAAUGGUGUGGAAUUAUUGUACAUUGUGGUUCAAAUGUCCGAAAUUUCCACAUUGCUUGUAAAUUAAGUUUGGGUGAGAGUGACAGGAGGAAGCAACAGCAAGUGUGAAGUCAAUAGACAAUUGAUAGUCUUAGUUUUAGUUUUAGUCUUUUUUUGUCGAGUUAAAGUGUAGUCAAUAGACAAUUGAUAGUCUUAGUCUUAACCUUUUUUUGUCGAGUUAAAGUAUAGUCAAUGGACAAGUGAUAGUCUUAGUCGCUGUCCUUUUUUGUCGAGUCAAAGUGUAGUCAACAGACAAUUGAUAGUCUUAGUCUUUUUUUGUGGAGUUAAAGUAUAGUGAAUAGACAAUUGAUAGUUAAAUUUGUAGCAGUCUUCUUCCUCUUUAUUCUUUUGUUUGGAAAAUAAUUUGGGACCAAACUUGACUAGAUAUAAGGAAGAAGACUUUGUAAUCUCAUGAAUUUUUUGGUAAAAAAAAAGUAAUCAAUUUUAUGAAUGAAAAAUAUAUGGUAAAAAGGAAGUAGUUGUUGAUCAAUAACAACAUGAUGAUUGUGGAAAUACAAAAAUUCCCAUAUAUGUGUUGAAUUCUGCAUAAUGUAAAUGUCUCCCAUUGCAUGUGAAUUCUGCAAUAGGACUAAACUUUACGUGUUAUAGUCCUUUAAACGGAGUUAAUGAAAAGCAACUAUCCCGUCAAAAUUAGUUAUACUCUUAAUUUAUAGAAAUGGAAAGAGUAAUUUGAGUUGAACUCAAAGGUUAAUAUGUCACUAAUGGGUGAUGGCAUGACGUUACCAUGUCAGUAAUUAUUGAUCAUGUGGCAUUGUCACGUCGACAAACAGUGUUGGUGUGGUAUUUGUUAACAGCCACGUAGGUAUUGCCAUUAACUACUAACAGUCAACACCAAUCAUGUAGGUGCUAGUUUUGGUAGUUAAUAGAUGUUUAACUUUUUCAUCAUUUUUUUGGGUAAUUUAACAAACCAUACAAGUUUUAAGGCUAAAAGAGACUAAAAAAAUAAACAAACCAUCAUUUUUUGGUUGACAAGCAAGUGAAUAGAUACAUUCUUUACGUGUUAUAGGGAAGAAGACUAAGUCAAUCUACUUUGUAAUCUCAUGAAUGAUAAUUAUUUUAGUUGUUUAGGGAGUUCAAAUGAAAUACAAAAUUUUGAUAAAAUAAGUAAUCAAUUUUAAUUAAGAAUGAAAAAUAUAUGGUAAAAAGAAGACUAAGUGGUUGUUAAUGAAGACUAACAACAUGAUGAUUGUAGAAAUACAAAAAUUUUGAAAAUCGAAUAUCCAUAGCUUUUCAAUGUUAGCAAUUCAAACUCUUCCCAUAUAAAAGAAAAAAAAAACAAAGACUGUAACACUAAUGUUAUGGUAUUAAUCAACAACUCUUUUGUUUAAUAUUGGGUAUUAUUUGUUGCCUAUAAAUACCAUUCCUAUCCUUCAUCUUCCUCUACAAACAUAACAUGGCCUCCUAUCUAUUUCUCUACCUAUUCCUCUUCUUUCCCCAUCUUUAUGCUUCUUUUUCUUCUUCAGGAUCUCACUCCUGCACUUCACUAAUCCAGUUCAAGGACUCCUUUUCCAUAACAGAGGAUGCUUCUUUUUCUUGCGAUCGUAUUACAGGCCUUAAAUCUUAUCCCAAGACAAAUUCAAGGAAGCAGGGUACAGCUUGCUGCUUAUGGGAUGGGGUCACUUGUGACCAAAUAAAUGCUCAUGUUAUUGCCCUUGACUUGAGCUGCAGUUGGCUAUAUGGCAACUUCCCUUGCAAUACCACUCUUUUCCUUCUUCCUCACCUUCAAAAACUCAACCUUGCCUUCAAUGAUUUUAAUCUUUCCAAAAUUCCAUCUGAGUUUGGUCGGUUUGAAAGUCUAGUAUAUCUCAACCUUUCUCAUACCAGUUUUGUAGGAGAGGUCCCAUCCCAAGUCUCCCACCUGUCAAAAUUGGUUUCACUUGAUCUCUCCUCUUGGAUUUAUGACUCUGCAAUUGACAAACAUGCUCUGGAGGGACUUGUUCAAAACCUAACCGAGGUCAGACUUCUGUUUUUGGAUGGAAUCAACAUGUCUUCUACUAAUCCUCAUGUCUUCAUGAAUCUAUCUUCUUCUCUGAGGUCUCUCAGUCUUGAUUUUUGUGAUUUGCAAGGAAAAUUCCCAAAAAACAUUUUUGAUUUGCCAAACCUCAAUCUCCUUGACUUGGGAGGCAACCAAAACCUCAAUCUUAAUCAUUUGAAGUUCAAUCGGAGCAACAAUCUUGAACAUUUGGAUCUGUCGUGGAUGUCUUUCUCUACAAAAUUGAUUGAUUCAGUUGAUAAUCUACAGGCCUUAAAGUACUUAGAUCUAUCAGGAAAUUCUUUCUUUCAAGAAUUGUCUGUCUCAAUCACAAAUUUAUCAUCUUUGGAGUACUUGAGUAUUAGGGGCGCAAAUAUUUGUGGAGGAUUGCCCGACUCGAUUGGGAAUCUUGUAUCCUUGAAGUUUUUAGAUCUCUCCAUUUCCAACUUAUCAGGACCGGUUCCAAGAUCACUGGGAAACCUUUUACAACUCACUCAUUUAGACUUAGGAUGGAACAAAUUGAGUGGACAAAUUCCAUUAUCAAUUCUAAACCUAACGCAGCUUGAAUACUUGGGAAUAGCUACAAAUUCAUUAGAAGGUUCCAUUCCAGAUGAGGUAACCGCAUUUCCUAGUCUAAUAACUUCAAGGUUAUAUGACAAUUUACUCAAUGGAACACUUCCAUCAUGGUUGUAUACUGCUCCCUCCUUAAAGAUAAUAAAUCUCUCUCAAAAUCAAUUCAAUGGCCAUAUCAAAGAAUUCCAAUCCAAAUCACUAGAAUUGUAAUAAACUCCAAGGUCCUCUUCCAUCUUCAAUAUUCCAACUUCUUAAUCUUACCCACCUCUUUUUGUCCUCAAAUAAUCUUAGUGGUGUCAUGGAGUUGAGCAUGUUCUCAAGCCUUCCAAAUCUCAAAUAUCUCGACCUUUCAUAUAACAGCCUAUCCUUAACAUCUAAUAGCACUUCUAGUGUUAAUCUUACAAGCUUAUUUUUGUCAUCUUGCAAUCUUAGUGAAUUCCCCCAAUUUUUAAAAGGGCUUAAAAGUUUGGAAAGCUUAGACCUCUCUUACAACAGAAUUGAAGGCAAGAUUCCACAGUGGAUGCAAGAGGUGGGGAAUGACUCUUUGACUUACUUAAAUGUAUCUCACAACUAUUUGAUAGAAGUUGAGCACUUUCCAUGGAAGAAUAUUGCUGUUCUUCUCAUAACACAAACUUCAAUAGUGUCUUCAAAUUUGCGCCAACGACGCCAUAUCAAAUGUGUCGGACAUUGAUCAAGUCUAAACAAUGUUCAAACUUGGCCCUUGUAACCACCUUAGUCAGCAUAUCUGCAGGAUUCUCCGUAGUGUGAAUCUUUUGGAGAAGUAUCUCCUCUUCUUCGAGAAUUUCCCGCACAAAGUUAUAACGAACGUCUAUGUGCUUCGUUCGUGCAUGAAAAACUUGAUUCUUUGCUAAAUGAAUAGCACUCUGACUGUCAGAAUAUACCUUAAGUUGUUUCUGACCAACUUCCAAGUCUUUAAGCAAUCCAUGAAGCCAAAUUGCUUCCUUCACAGCCUCUGUAAUUGCCAUAUACUCUGCCUCUGUUGUAGACAAAGCCACCGUGGACUGUAAGGUAGAUUUCCAACUAACUGGCGCUUUCGCUAAAGUAAACAAAUAGCCAGUUGUAGACCGUCGCUUAUCCAAAUCACCUGCAUAAUUAGAAUCACAAUAUCCAACUAUGCAUUGACCAAAUGAUUCAUCCUGCUCGAAUGCCAAUCCGACAUCUAUGGUAUUUUAGAGAUACCGCAGAAUCCAUUUCACAGCUUGCCAAUGACCCCUGCCCGGAUCAUGCAUGUACCUGCUAACAACACUAACAGCCUGCGAAAUAUCUGGUCUUGUACAUACCAUUGCAUACAUCAAGCUUCCAACUGCAUUUGCAUAUGGGACUUUUGCCAUGUACUCUCGUUCUUCCUUAGUCGUUGGAGAUAACUGGUUACUUAGUUUAAAAUGAGGAGCAACUGGGGUACUUACAGGUUUUGUACCUUCAGACAUACCGAAACGUUGUAGUACCUUCUCCAAAUACUGUUUUUGUGACAGCCAAAGUUUGCCCCUCUUUCUAUCCCGAGUUAUUUCCAUGCCGAGAAUCUUCUUAGCUUCCCCUAAAUCCUUCAUCUCAAACUCUUUACUCAACUGAGCCUUCAGUCUAUCAAUCUCCAUUUGGCUCUUUGCUGCAAUCAGCAUAUCAUCAACAUACAAGAGUAAGUAGAUGUAGGAACUAUCUUGAAGCUUGCGCAAAUACACACAAUGAUCGUAUUUGCUUCUUUUGUACUUCUGGUCCUUCAUGAACCUGUCAAAUCGUUUGUACCAUUGUCUCGGAGAUUGUUUCAAUCCGUACAACGAUUUGCUAAGUUUACACACCCAAUUUUCUUUACCAGCAACCCUGUAUCCAUCUGGCUGAGUCAUAUAGAUUUCCUCCUUCAAAUCACCGUGUAGAAACGCGGUCUUCACAUCAAGUUGAGCUAGCUCCAAAUUCAACUGCGCUACCAAGGCCAACAAAAUUCUAAUGGAGGAAUGUUUAACAACUGGAGAAAAUACCUCAUUAUAGUCAAUUCCCUCCUUCUGAGCGUAGCCUUUAGCCACUAACCUUGCCUUGUAACGAGCAUCUUCUUUGUCGGGAAAUCCUUCUUUCUUUGCAAAUACCCAUUUGCAACCAAUCGCCUUCUUCCCUUUUGGUAGUUGUGCCAACUUCCACGUCUUGUUUUUCUCUAGAGAUUGCAUUUCCUCUUCCAUUGCACCUAACCAUAUAUUAUUCUCUAAACUCUGAAUGGCUUCGGUGUAAGUGGAUGGAAUAUUAUCAACAACUGGAAGUGCAUAAGCUACCAUGUCAGUGAAACGAGCUGGUUUCUGAAUUUCUCGUCUCUGCCUUCUGACUGCAAUUGGCUCUGAUUGCUGUUGAGGUUCUUGGGUAGAAACCUCUUCCUCAUCUGACUCUGUAUCUGCCAAUGAAGAAUCACUAGUGGUACCUUCUGCUGGAAUUACCACACUCUGCUCAAACUCCACCUGCUGCGGAGUACACUCCACCUGCUGCGAAGUACUACUCACUCCUUCUGGAUUUACCUUAUUGAACAUGGCAGAUUCAUGAAAGGUAACAUCCCUACUGAUUAUCGUCUUCUUUGCCUCUAGACACCACAAAUGAUAUCCCUUAACACCAGCAUUGAAGCCCAUGAAUAGAGCCUUCUUUGCUCUUGGAUCUAACUUUGAUUCUUUCACAUGAUAAUAUGCAAUAGAACCAAAAAUGUGCAAGGUGUCGUAAUCAGUAGCAGGUUUUCCAUACCAUUUCUCCAAAGGAGUCUUGCCAUUUAUAGCAGAUGAUGGCAAAUGAUUGAUGAGAUGUUGAGCGUACGUCACAGCCUCAGUCCAAAACUUUCUAUCUAAUCCAGCAUUAGAUAACAUACAUCGAACUUUCUCCACAAGCGUUCGAUUCAUACGCUCUGCCACCCCAUUCUGUUGCGGUGUUCCACCUACGGUGAAGUGCCUUACUAUGCCACAAUCUUGGCAUAUCUUCAGGAAUGGAUCGCUUUUAUAUUCUCCACCGUUGUCUGAUCGGAGAACCUUAAUCUUCCUUCCUGUCUGAUUUUCAACUUUAGUUUUCCACUUAAGGAAAACUUCAAGCACCUCAUCUUUGUUCUUCAUAGGAAACACCCAAACUCGUCUGGAAAAAUCAUCAAUAAAUGUGACAAAAUAACGUCUUCCUCCAAGUGAUGGAGUCUUGGACGGUCCCCAUACAUCAGAAUGCACAUAAUCCAGAAUACCUUUAGUAUUGUGAAUCCCAGUGCCAAAUUUCACCCUUCGUUGUUUUCCCAGAACACAAUGCUCGCAAAAUUCAAGUUUGCAAGUCUUUGUACCUUUCAAUAAUCCUUGCUUGGCUAGAGUUUGCAAGGAUUUUUCACCAGCAUGGCCCAAACGCAUAUGCCACAGCUGUGUUGCCUCAGCGUCCUUCUUGGUACUCGUAAUUGCUGCUGCUGUUGUCCCGACCACUGUACUACCUUGGUAGUAAUACAGAUUGUUCUUUCUUAUGCCUUUCAACAUCACCAAUGCUCCUGAAGUUGCUUUAAGAACUCCAUCUCGUAUUGUCACAACUAGGCCUUUAGAUUCUAACGACCCCAAAGAGAUGAGAUUCUUCUUCAACUUUGGGACAUAUCGUACAUCCCGCAAAAUUCUAGUAGAUCCAUCAUGACUCCUCAGUUUAAUUGAACCUAUCCCGGCUAUUUUACAUGUGUUAUCAUUACCCAUGUAAACAACCCCUUCAUCUAGUUUUUGAAAUUCAAAGAACCAUUCCCGAAUGGGACACAUAUGAUAGGAACAACCAGAAUCCAUGAUCCACUCAUCUGCAUAUAAUGUUGAAGAUGUCAUACUAAGAGAAAAGUCUGACUCUGCUUCACUAUUGCAUUCUGCAACAUUUGCAUCUUGCGGAGUCUUCCAUUUUUUCUUCAAUUUUGGACAAUCUUUCUUCCAAUGUCCUUUUUCUUUGCAAAAAGAACAUUCAUCUUUGGCAACAGCUCGACCUUUGGACUUUCUUCUCUUCCCCUUAGACUGACUUUGCUGACGACCUCUUGUUACCAAUGCUUCCACUGCUGCUUCACCUGAACCUUUCAACUUAUCCUUUCGGCGUAGUUCAUAGCUAUACAAUGCAGCAGUUACUUCAUUGAAAGUUACUUCCGAUUUUCCAUGAAGUAGAGUAGUUUCAAGGUACUCAAACUCCUCAGGAAGCGAUCCCAACAACAUUAACGCCAAGUCUUCGUCUUCAAAAGUCACAUCCAAAUUCAACAAAUCAGCCACCAGCUGAUUAAAAUUGGUAAUGUGCUCGUUCAUCGUGGUACCAGGAGCAUAAUUGAAACGAAACAGUCUUUUCUUCAUAUGCAACUUAUUUUGACUGUUCUUCUUCAAGAAUUUCUCCUCCAAUGCUUUCCACAAUUUACUUGCAGAAGUCUCUUUACUGAAUGUAUACUUUUGCUCUCUGGAAAGACAUGAUCGAAUUGUACCACAUGCCAAUCGGUUGAUGGUCUUCCAUUCUUUAUCAUCAACCCCUUCUGGUUUUUCUUCCUCAAUGGCAAUAUCUAGACCCUGUUGAAAGAGGGCAUCUAGAAGCUCACUUUGCCACAUGCCAAAAUGACCUGUUCCAUCAAAAAUUUCCACUACAAAUCUCGUAUUUGCAGUUCCAAUCCUCGGCAAAAUGUACGAAGUGGAAGUUGUUGAUAUGGAUGGUUUUUCUUCUGUCAUUUUUGCCAUAGCUUCUACUUAAUAGCCACCAAAUGCAGAAUACCCACAAGCUUUAGGAAAUGUUUCUGAUGUGUAAGAUCAGACUAAGCUGCAAACACAGAGCAUACUACAAAACCUUGGCUCGGAUACCAAUUGUUGCGGAAGCGACGAUAAUAUUAAUAACAAUAUUAUCAGAAAUAUUUAGAUAAUUAUUAUGCCAACAAUUAUACUAAGAAAAUUCCCAGUUAAAUUGGAGGGGUCACAAAUGGUCCCGCUUAAAACCCAACAACUAGACAGAACUCACUUAGAUAUUUAUAGCAAUAAUAACUAAAUAAAUAUAACCAACAUAAAGCUAUUAAAUAUAAGCAAACAAAUAAGAAAUAAAAUACCAGAGAUUUAACGAGGUUCGGCCAAUUUAGCUUACGUCCUCGGACACUACCAAAUUAAUAUUUCUUCUAGAAAUAUUACAAAGGAGAAGAUUUUGGGAUGAUACAACCAAAGGGGGAGGGGUUCUAUAUAUAACAAACCAAACCCCCUCCCUUUCUAUCUUUUCCUAAUGUGGGAUAUUGCCAAUAUUCAACAGUAGGAUCCCCACAUCAGUAGGGAAUUUGACAAGUCUUGAAUGGUUGGACCUAUCUUCAAACAGGUUGUCUGGGACGAUUCCAAAUAAAUUGGCAGAUCUGCCAUUUCUUUCGUCGUUAAAUGUUUCUGAAAAUCAACUCCAUGGUCAGAUUACUCAAGGAAAACAAUUCAACACAUUUGGAAAUGAUUCAUAUGAAGGAAAUAAGGGACUAUGUGGGUUUUCGGUCUCGAAAGGUUGCAAAAUCAUUGAGCCAGCACCUCCAAAUGUGCUUGAAAAAAAUGGCUCAAAAUCAAACAUUGCUUUUGGUUGGAAAGUGGUGUUGAUAGGUUAUGGAUGCGGAAUAGUGCUCGGAAUGUCGGUGGGAUAUGCUGUUUUCCAAACUUGUAAGCCGGAAUGGUUGGUGAAUUUGGUUGAAAACCAACAUGAGAAGAGGCGAAGAAGAAAGUCAAAGAAUGGCAAUCGCAGCAAUAGACGAAGUAGGGCCUGAUUACUGCGAAUGAUGUUCAAGCAUUAGUGUUGUAUUUUCACAAUUUCUUGUUUUGUAGACCGUUUUGCCUAUGGUGAAGGGUUGCAUUUCGUACUGUCUUUCAUUGCAUUUCGUACUGUCUGUAAUGGUUUGUUUGAGUUUAACAUUUUGUAUUGUGUUGUUGUUUAUGUCUUCUUUUAUAACUUUCAAUUCAGUCUCAAUAAUCUUUGCUACUGCUCACUAAAGGACAACAAAAUGUCUCAGUGAUCUCUGUUGUCUUUAUCUUUAGCAUUGUGCAUGGUGUAUUCCCAGUGGUGGCUUGUUCAUGAAUCACUUGACAAGCUAAUGUAUUAACAUGUUAAGUUUAUAGCUAACAUGGAAAUCAAGAUGUUGAUGGUGCGGACAAAGUUAGAAUUUCAAGCAUUCAUGUCUCUUUUUUCCUUUUAUUUCUAGAGUAAACGUAGUUGGGUAACAAAGUUGAUGUGAAUUGAGGUACAAUUGGUGGAUCCCAUGCCCCUAAUUUCCUUUACGUAGGCUUAAUUGAAAUUUAAUAGUUGUAACAUGCUCAAAUUUUUUGUACUCUUUGUAUAUUUGAAGUUUAAUAUCUAUACUUUAAUUUUUAGGGAUUUAGUCCCUCUACUUUUCAAAUCUAAAAAUUUAAGUUUAUUUAUUAACAUUGUUAAAAUUCUUCUAUUAAAUUUGUUGGUGUGAUAUUUGACUUUAAAAAAAAAACAAAUUUCACUUUAUAUACAUAUAACAAAAAUUGGCAAUAUAAUAGACUUGAAUUUUCUAGUCAGCUAAAAGAGAAAUAGUUAACUAAAUAAUAUUGACUCGAAUUUAAGGAAAAGUAAUAAUUCCCAAAUAAAGUUUUUAGAAUUCCAAUGUAACAAACUAAUUUAUAUAAUAUACAUAAACUAAUUCUAUUGUAACACAACUUUUAAUAAUUAAUUAAUUUUUGUGGAUUGUUAUAUAAAUGCCACAUCGGUAAUUAAUUAAUUUUUAAAACUUUAAAAAAUUCAAAAAAUUAUUAAAAAACAAUUUUAGUUUUUAAAAAUUUAAUUAAUUAUUAACGUGACAUACACAUGUACUGUCAUGUGGAUGCCACAUUAACAAAUAUUAACUUUUCUAUCUUUUUUUGAGCUAAUUUGAUAAAUAAUAUAUGUUCAAGUCCAUAUUGGACAUUCUGCUGCAACUAUUUGAAAUUUUUAGGGGAGAAGCCAAAAAAAAUUAAAUGAUGAAAAAUUAAAUGAAUGUCUAAAACAAGGGAGAAGCCAAAAAAAAUUUUUAGGGGCAGAAAUUAAAUUAUAAGUUUUACCAUAGUACAAAUACAAUAUCACCAUUUUAAUACUCUAUACCAUUAUAAUUUUUAAAUGAUUAAAUAAAUUUUUUAUCAAUUUUAGGGAGGGUCAAAUUGUAAUUUUACCUUUAAUAAUUUAAAAUUUUAAAAAUUUUAAAUUAAAGGGUCUAAAUGAAAAAUUUUCCAUUUAAAAAGGGUAGGCCCCUGCCAACCCUAAUUAUGCCUCUGAGAUAAAAUGAUAUUUUUUUUUGUAAAGAAGGAAGACCAAAUAAAUCAUUAUACUUUUUUUUAUUGGCUAAGGUUUACCUUAAUAAUGAGUGCAAAAAUAUUUACUGGUAAACUAAUUAGUCUACUUACCAAGUAUUGGCUUUAAUUAUUUUUCGGGGGUAAGACUUGGAUUUAAUUUUCAUCAUUCAUGUUUUUUUUCCUCAACACAUCAAACUUAGGGUAAAUUCAGAUGGGCAAUUGAGUACGGUGCAGUGCGUUUAAUUUACUUUUUAUCUUACGCUACAGUAUCGCUACAAUAUCUAAUCUCAACACUAAUCAUAGGUGAAUGCACCAUCUAUUCAAACUCACCCUUAAUCUAUAUUAUAAAUUAUUUUGUGGGUGUGGAGUUCCUGUACAUUAUGCUGCAAAUGACUGAAAUUUCCUUAUUACUUAUCGAUUAAGUUCGGUUGACAGUGAGAGGAAGGCAUACCAAGUGAAGUCAAUAGAUGUUGGCAGUCUUGGUAUUUGAACUAAACUACUUAACUGUUUUGAAAUUGAAUGCAUUGAUGUGAAAUUGAGGAACCAGUAAACACGUUGAGACAAAUAUUAGGUGCUUCAGAGGAAAUGAAAAGCCCAAUAACAAUGUUGAUGUGAGUUUAGGUAAAUUUGGUGGAUCCCAUUACCUUAUUAAUUUCCUUUUAAAGAAGCUUAAUUGCCGGUGCAAAUGGUGUGUUGUAUCGAGUCUCUACUGUCUUCCACCAUCUAGGACCAAACAUGAGGUGUUAUAGGAAAUAAGACCAAGUCAAUAUACAGUGAAAGGUUUCUCUAAUGGAAGUAGCCGCUUUCACACUGCCAACUUAGAUAGUUUGUGGUCGAGGACGAUCAACCAUUUGAAAUCUUCAUUUGAUAAUACCAAUUACACUAAUUAAAAUUUCUUUUUAAUAAAAACUCUUAUUAUUGCAUUAAUUCGCUUAAUGGAUAGAUAUUCCUAUUAGAUUCGACUCCACACAAUUAUGUGGAUUAUUUAAUGAUGGUGUUACGAGACUAAAAGUUUAAAGAGUAAACCUAAUUGGUCUCCAUUUGGUUUUAUCUAAUUAGAGGAAUUGAUAUCCUUAAUGGCUUUUAGUCGACUGUACAAACAAGUUAGAAUUUCCAGCAACCAUGUCUUUUUUUCCCUCAGCACAUCUAUCUACCUCUCGAGUAAUAAACGUAGUCCAUAUUGCAAAUUGUUGUUAUUUUGUAUGUAAUUAUUGGACAUUCUGCUGCAACUAUUUGAAAUUUCCUCUGGUUGUAAAUUUUAAUAUAUAUUUUUAUUUUUUAGAAACAAUUUUUAUAUAUUUUUAAAAAUUAAUUAAUUGCAUCUAUGUGACAAUCUACGUGUAUGCCUUGUCAACAAAGUCCACAAACGUCAACUUUUACAUUAAUUUUAAAGUGAUUUGACAAAUAACACAAGUUUAAGGGCUAAGAAAAUUAAGUGAAGGACUAAAAGAACCUUUUAAAUAAAAUGAGAGAACCAAAUAAGUCAUUAUAGCAAAAAAUUUUGAGCAAAAAUUUUUCCACAAAAAUGCAGUUUCCCGGUAGUUUUCUCGCAAUUAAUAGAAAAUGACGCUCAUUUAGUGCCAACCAAUGAAAUAUUUCCACAUUCGCCUUGAAUUUUUAAGCAAUAAAUUAAAAUAAUAUGUUUCUUUAAAUGAUGUUACAAUCAUAAUUGCAAUCAAUAAUGAAUGUCUAAUGGCUUUUAGGUAGCUUCACUCAAGUAAACGUUGACAAUACUGCAAAUUGUGUUGAAUUAUUGUAUACUGUGCUGCAAAUGUCUGAAAUUUCCACUUGUAAAUUAAUUAGUUUGGGUGAGAGUGAUAGGAGGAAGCAACAGCAAGUGAAGUCAAUAGACAACUGAUAGUCUUAAGUCUUUUUUUGUGGAGUAAAGUAUAUUCAAUAGUCAAUACUGCAAAAUUUCCAUACAUGUGUUGAAUUCUGCAUAAUGUAAAUGUCUCACAUUGCAUGAGGAUUAUCUUUGGUUAACACGGACAGCAAUAGAACUAAACUUUACGUGUUAUAGUCUUUUAAACCGAGUUAAUGAAAAGUAAUCAUUCCUAUAAAAAUUAGUUAUACUCUUAAUUUAUAACAAAGGAAAGAGAAAUUCGAGUUGAACUUAAAGGUUAGUAUGUCACCGAUGGGCGAUGGCGUGGCACCAUCAUGUUAGCGAUUAUUGAUCAUGUGGCAUUGUCACGUCAACAAAUAGGUUUGGUGUAAGUGUUGGCAUUAACUACUAACGGUCAACAUCAACCACGUAGGUGCUAGUUUUGUUAGUUAACAGAUGUAACUUUUUCAUCAUGUUUUUUUGGGUGAUUUAAUGAACUAUACAAGUUUCAAAGCUAAAAGAGACAAAAAAAUAAAAAAAGAAAAGCUAAAAUGACUUUUUGUUUGUAAAGUUAAAAAAUGUUAAAUAAAUCAUUAUGUCUUUUUAGUUUUAAUUUUUUACUUGAUUAAAAGGGAAAUAAUUAACAAAUAAAAAAUAACUAUUUCCAAAAAAAUUUAUCAAAAUUUAUAACAAAUGAGAUUUUAGAUUUGAAUUAUGAGGUUAUAUAUAUAUAUAUAAUUAUACGCAUUUUUAUGGAAUCGGUGGAUUAAAUUUCCAGCAGUCAUCUUUCUCAGACGUAUUGAAUAGAGCACAAUUUAGUUUUUUUUGUGUGAAAAAUAAUUUCCACGUUAAUUAGCUUUGGUUGACAGCCAAGUGAAUAGACACACACAUUCUUUACGUGUUAUAGGGAAGAAGACUAAGUCAAUCUAUUUUGUAAUCUCAUCGAUCUUAAUUAUUUUAAUUAUUUAGGGAGUUCAAAUGAAAUACAAUAUUUUGGUAAAAAAAAGCAUCCAAUUUUAAGAAUGAAAAAUAUAUGGUAAAAAAGGAAGUGGUCGUUGAUGAUUGUGAAAAAUACAAAAAUUUUGAAAAAUCUAAUAUCCAUAGCUUUUCAAUGUAAAAGAAAAAAAAGUAUAACACUAAUGUUGUUAGGUAUCCUUCAUCUUCCUCUACAAACAUAACAUGGCCUCCUAUCUCUUUCUCUGCCUAUUUCUCUUCUUUCCCCACCUUUAUGCUUCUUCUUCUUCCGGAUCUCACUCCUGCUCUCACCACGAAGCUGCUUCUCUAAUCCAGUUCAAGAAUUCCUUUUCCAUCACUCAGACAGUGCAUGCUGUUAGGUAUUGCAGUCAUAUUGUUGGCUUUCAAUCUUAUCCCAAGACAAAUUCAUGGAAGGAGGAUACAGAUUGCUGCUCAUGGGAUGGGGUCACUUGUCAUCACCUAAAUGCUCAUGUUAUUGCCCUUGACUUGAGCUGCAGUAGGCUAUAUGGCAACUUCCCUUCCAAUACCACCCUCUUCCAUCUUCCUCACCUUCAAAAACUCGACCUUUCUUACAAUGAUUUUAAUCUUUCCAAAAUUCCAUCUGAUUUUAAUAAUGUGUCCUUAAAGUUUUUAGAUCUCUCCCAUUCCAACUUAUCAGGACCGGUUUCAAGAUCACUGGGAAACCUCUUGCAACUCACUGAUUUAGACUUGUCGCGAAACCAAUUGAGUGGACAAAUUCCAAGAUCAUUGGGGAACCUCUUGCAACUCACUGAUUUAGACUUGUCGCGGAACCAAUUGAGUGGACAAAUUCCAUUAUCAAUUCUAAACCUAACGCAGCUUGAAUAUAUGAGAAUAGAUGGAAAUACAUUAGAAGGUUCCAUUCCAGAUGAGGUAACCACUUUUCCUAAUCUAAUAUCUUUAGACUUAUCUGGCAAUUUACUCAGUGGAACACUUCCCUCGUGGUUGUAUACUGCUCCCUCCUUAAAGGAAAUAUAUCUCUCUCAAAAUCAAUUCAGUGGGCAUAUCAAAAAAUUCCAAUCCAAAUCCCCGGAAUUGAUAUGGUUAGACAAUAAUAAACUCCAAGGUCCUCUUCCAUCUUCAAUAUUCCAACUUCUCAAUCUUACCCUGCUUAGCUUAUCCUCAAAUAAUCUUAGUGGUGUCAUAGAGUUGAGCAUGUUCUCAAACCUUCCAAAUCUCAAUUAUCUUGACCUUUCACAUAACAGCCUAUCCUUAACAUCUAAUAGUACUUCUAGUGUUAACCAUAUAUUGCCUAAUCUUAUAGCCAUAUUUUUUUCAUCUUGCAAUCUUAGUGAAUUCCCCCAAUUUUUGAAAGGGCUUAAAAGUUUGGAAAGCUUAGACCUCUCUUGCAACAGAAUUGAAGGCAAGAUUCCACAGUGGAUGCAAGAGGUGGGGAAUGACUCUUUGAGUUACUUAAAUGUAUCUCAUAACUCUUUGACAGAAGUUGAGCACUUUCCAUGGAAGAAUAUUGCAGUUCUUGACUUAAGCUCCAAUUUGAUCCGUGGAAAUCUUCCAAUUCCAGCUUUGACGAUCAAUGUCUUUCUGAUCUCAAAUAAUAGUUUCAAUGGAGAGGUCUCUUCUUUAAUAUGCAAUGCCAGUUUUCUUCGAAUUCUUGAUUUGUCCCACAAUAACUUGAGUGGAACAAUUCCCCAAUGUUUUGGAAGUUUGAGCGACAGCCUUGAAUUCUUGAAUCUGAUGAAGAACAAGUUUUAUGGGACGAUUCCUCCAACAUUUGCAAAGGGAUGCAAUUUGAGUAAUUUCAACUUAAAUGGAAAUCUGUUAGAAGGGCCUUUGACACCAUCCAUCUUUAAUUGUAAAGGUCUGGAAGUGCUAGAUCUUAGUAACAACAAGAUCAAUGAUACAUUUCCUCAUUGGUUGGGAAGUCUUCCACAGCUACAAGUUCUUGUAUUGAAGUCAAAUCAUAUGCAUGGUUCCUUGUGUGUGAAUAGCUCUAAGUCUAGCCCUUUUUUCUCUAAAAUCCAAAUUUUUGACCUCUCAAGUAAUUAUUUUUCUGGACCCCUACCAGUGGGAUACAUUAACAACUUCAAGGCUAUCAUAAAUCUAGAGAAGAUUGGUAGUACAGUGUCGUACAUGGGGAUGUAUGAUUACGAAGGUAGUGCCUUCUAUACCUAUUCCAUUGGAAUUGCUAUGAAAGGACAAGAUGUGGAAUUGGUGAAAAUUUUCACCAUGUGGAUGAUCAUUGAUCUAUCAAACAAUCAGUUUGAAGGGGAGAUUCCAAAGGUAAUUGGGAAGCUUAACUUAUUGAAAGGGCUCAACCUUUCUCAUAAUAACCUUAAUGGUGGUAUCCCCACCUCAAUAGGGAAUUUGACAAGUCUUGAAUGGUUGGACCUAUCUUCAAACAGGUUGUCUGGGACGAUUCCAAAUAGAUUGGCAGAUCUGCCAUUUCUUUCAUCCUUAAAUGUUUCUGAAAAUCAACUCCAUGGUCAGAUUCCUCAAGGCAAACAAUUCAACACAUUUGGAAAUGAUUCAUAUGAAGGAAAUAAGGGACUAUGUGGGUUUCCGGUCUCGAAAGGUUGCAACAUCAUUGAGCCACCACCUCCAAAUGUGCUUAACAAAGAUGGCUCAAAAUCAAACAUUGCUUUUGGUUGGAAAGUGGUGUUGGUAGGUUAUGGAUGCGGAGUAGUGUUCGGAAUGUCGGUGGGAUAUGUUGUUUUCCAAACUGGUAAGCCAAAAUGGUUGGUGAAUUUGGUUGAAAACCAACAUGAGAAGAGGCGAAGAAGAAAGUCAAAGUAAGGCAAUCGCAGCAAUAGACGAAGAAGGGUCUAAUUGUUGAAAUUGGCCAACCAUGCUGCUGUUUGAAGUGCAUGCAGCUUGAUGACAUGCUGCAGCACGUAUACUUGCUGUAACAGCAAGGUUUUCUCUUUAGUUUCUUUGUUAAGCUACUUAGUUGAAAAUGAACUAAGUUGAUAUUGUUCUGAUGUUUUUAGGUGCUGAUUGACAUAAUCAGCUUGUGUGCAAGUUAAGUUUUACUUGUUUCAAAGUAAAAAUAGUGGUAGUAGGUAGUAUUUGGUGAUGUAUUUGACUAUAUAUAUGUUGUUUUUCUAGUUGAAUGAAUGAGCUGAAUGAGCUAUCAGCCAUUAGCUCCCUUGCUGCACGUUUGUGAGCAAGUAAAUUGUUUUUGUUUAUUCCUCCUUUGUUCUCUGUCUUGUUCUUUUUCUUUUUGCUGCUGCCAAUGUUCCAACACUAAUUACUACAAAUGAUGUUCAAGCAUUAGUGUUGUAUUUUCAUAAUUUCUUGUUUUGUAGACCGUUUUGCCUAUGGUGAAGGGUUGCAUUGGUAUGUGUCUGUCUUUAUUAUUGUACCAAUUACUCUGUCUUUCAUUGCAUUUCGUACUAUCUGUAAUGGUUUGUUUGAGUGUAAUAUUUUGUAUGGUGGUGUUGUCUAUGUCUUCUUUCAUGACUUUCAAUUCAGUCUCAAUAAUCUUUGCUACUGCUCACUAAAGGAAAAAGGGGAACAAAAUGUCUCAAUGAUCUCUGUUGUAUUUUCGUAACUUUUUUACAAGUGUGUCUAAUGUUUUGCCUUGACCAAUUUAACCAAAUGUUUUUAUCUUUAGCAUUGUGCCUGAUGUAAUCCCAGUGACGGCUUGUUCACGAAUUACUUGACAAGCUAAUGAAUUAUCAGGUUAAGUUUAUAGCUAACAUGGAAAUCAAGAUGUUGAUGGUGCAGACAAAGUUAGAAUUUGAAGCACUCAUGUCUCUUUUUUCCCUCUAUUUUCAGAGUAAACGUAGUUCGGUAACAAAGUUGAUGUGAAUUGAGGUACAGUUGGUGGAUCCCAAGUCCCUAAUUUCCUUUACGUAGGCUUAAUUGAGGGAGCAAUUGGGGUUUCAGCUGAUAUCCAGAGAAGACCAAAGCAUGAGGUUUCAGCUGGUCCUUGUACUAUAUGCAAUCUCCUAUAGUAAUUCCAUUUGAUAAUUUAUACAUUUGUAUCAUUUAGUUGAUCAAUGAAUCAAUCACUGCAAUCCUAGUUGUAACUUCUCUCAUACCACUUAAUAUGAGUUUUCUAAUUUAUAUUUGAUGCUUUGAAUUCAAAUAUAAAUCGAAUAUGUAUAUUGGUAUGUUCAAGUUCAUAAUUUUAGUAAUUACCAUAACACUUAACUUCAUAUUUAAUUGGGUCCUUCAAUUGAUAUUUCUUGGAUUAAAAUAUAAACCGACUUUUUUAUUGCUUGAAUUGGGACCCAAAAAAUUUAAAUAAUGGGACUCAUAAAAUUUGUAAUUAAAAUGUUGAUGUGUCAAUCAAGUAACUGUGCUACUUGUCCAAAUUCUAAUUAUGCUAUACAGGAUUGUUGCCUUUUUGCAACAAAACCUUGUUAUAUAUUAUAUGCUAGUUUGUAUACUUGUGUAAUGCAAAGGUUGGUGGUGUUUGUCAGUAUAAUUCUCUUAAAAAUCAAUUUUAAAAAUUUAUAUAUUCUAAUAAAAUUUUAAAAAUAUACAUUAUAUAUAUAUAUAUGUAUUGUUGAAAUAAAUUUUUUUUUGAAUAAUCUCUCUUUUUCAUACAUUACCUAAAGUUAUUCAUAGCCUCUUCCUAACCCAUAAAUAAGAGGAUAAUGCGCUUCAACGCACUUACACCUACGUACUCCAGUAUUAGCAACAAUGACCAUGUUGAUUGAACUAAGACUUAAUCAGUAUUGUUGAAAUAAAUUUUAAAAGAAUAGAUUCAAAAAAGUAAAACAUUAGCAUCGAAUAAAAAAAAGAAGUGAUGUGUGAUUUUUCUUUUUUGAAUUAUAAUAAUAGGGUAAAGCUCGAACAAUAAACAUGACUAGUGCAACUUGAACCCAAACCACACCUGACACAAUGAACAUCUUAACUAUUAGGCCGUCACAUGGAGUUCAAUCGACAAUGUGUGUUUUAAUUAUUAAACAAAUAAAAUUAAAUUAAUACAAUGAGUCACAUUUAUACUCAUUUAAGUAAUAUAACUGUUUUGGAAAAGAACUAAAAAGAUUAAAAAAUUCAUGCAAGUUUGAUAUAAUGCAAUAAUUGCACUUCUGAAUUUGAAAUAUGAAAUAGGGUGAGGUAAUGUUCAAAAAAAUUUGAUUUUAGCAAUAAAAUUAGAUGUUUUGUUUUAGGAUGAUUGAAUUUUUAUUUUAAUUUAACUACUAACAGUUUUAUUAUUUUAAAUAAAUGACUCGUAUGAACUGAUUUAUUUGAAUGGAUAUUAUUUUUUAGGUUUUAUUGUGACAAAAGAGCAAAUUGAAACUUUAUUAGUGGCAAUUAAAUUUAUUUAUUUAAGUCCAAUUUUAACAUUAAAUUUUGGCAUAUACAGUUUUCUGUAAGAAUGUUCGAAAAAUUUUUAAUUUAAGAUUAAAAAUUGAUUUCAUGUUUCAAAAGAAAAUUAUUUCAUCCCGAUUAAGCUUUUAACUUGAUUGGCAUUAACAUUAUUACCAAUGUAAGAGGACGUGGGUUCGAAUGUGUUGAAGCACAUUAUCCUCCUAUUUAUGGGUUGGGGAGAGACUAUAUGUAAUUUUAGGUAUUAUAUCACAAAAAGAAGAUAUAAUCGAAACCUAUAUUAUUUUCUUUAUUGAAUCUAAAUUGGAUGAUCAUAGAAUGGAAAAAGUCAGAUGUAAAUAUGGAUUUCAUAAUGGCAUUGAUGUUUGGCUAAUGUUGCUCUGGGUGGCCUUCCUUUGGGAUGGAAACCGAGCUAUACUAUCAAUCCCUGGAGCUUAAAUGAUUGCUAUAUUGAUGUUUUGGUUAUUGGCGAUGAAAAUACCACUGAAUGGUGGUUAAAUGGCUUUUAUGGAGUCUCAAAUGGUAGAAGAAGAGCAGAUUCUUGGGCCUUGCUUAAACAACUUAACCAAAAUUACAACAAUCCUUGGGUGGUUAUGGGAGAUUUCAAUGAAAUUCUUUUGAUCUAGGAAAAACAAUGGGGACGAUUCAGGGACAAGAGACAAAUGGGUGAAUUCAGAGCUGCAUUGGACGGUUGUAACUUGAUUGAUUUGGGUUAUCAAAGGUGUUGGUAUACAUGGGAAAGGGGGAAUUUUGCUUCCAAUAAUAUUAGAAAGAGACUGGACAGGGGAGUCGCAAAUUUGAAUUGGUGUAAUCUUUUCCCAAACUAUAUAUUGAUGCAUUUGGAUCAUUCUUGCUUGGAUCAUUGCCAUAUUUUACUCGACAUUGAAGCUUUGGUGAAUUCAGGUAACAUUUUUGCUUUUAAAUUUGAGAUGGAUUGGUUGUUGGAUGACUCCUGCGAAAAUGAAAUAAAAGCUCUUUGGAAUUCUAACAAACAUUUGCAAAUUCCAGUUCGACUUUUGACUGUUAGGCCAUGUUUAAAUGCAUGGGCCUCUAAGAAUAAAAAAGAGAAAGGACGGUGUAUUAAUGGGAUGAAGUGUCGCCUCGGCGUAUUAAUAGGAUGAAGCGUCUCCUUAAUGAACAGGAUAAUGCUAUGUCGAGUGAUGAUAAUGUUGAGGAGAUUAUCAAAGUUAAAUUGAAUCUUAAUUUGGAGAUUGACAAAUAAUGCAAGUUUAAAGGCUAAAAAGGAUAAUAAAAAAAUUAAAUGAAUGGCUAAAACAUAUGAGAAGCUAGAAAAUUUUUGUAGGGAGCCGAAAUUAAAUUAUAAUUUUUAUGAUAAUAAAAAUAUAAUUUCACCCAUUUAAUAAUAUAUAUCUUUAUAAUUUUUAACUGAUUAAAUUAAUUUUUUAUCAAUUUUAGGGAAAACCAAAUUAUAAUUUUACCUUUAAUAAUUUAAAAUUUUAAAAAUUUUAUUUGCUGUUAUUUGAUGGAGACAGUAAUAAUAUAUAGCAGAGUUGAAGGAAUGAUGUAAUGAAUUGAAACGUGGAACAAUGCGGACAGUAAAAGGGUACAUAUAGGUUGCUUUAAUUGGUGGAUGUAAUGUCCUUAUUUCCUUUAGUUAAGCUUAUUAAUUGAAUUGGUGAUUCAAAGAUGCAUGAAUUUCUAGCUAGCAGUCUUCUUCCUCAUCUCAUUGCCUUUGUGACCAAUGGGUGAUUUCUCUGCAAAAUUGGAUUGUUUGUGGUUGAGGACACUUAAACACACACUUAGUGUUAUAUGGAACUUAAAAUUGAAUUGAAUUUAUUUUUUUCUUGGAAUUUACCUAACUUUGUAUAUAUUAUUAAUUUGGUCCCAAACCUAUCUAUCUAUCAACAUAUUUGAUGUAUUUCUAGUGGAUUAAAUUUCCAGCAGUCUUCUUCCUCAAACGUAUAGUGAAUAGAGCAUAAUUUUAUUCUUUUGUGUGGAAAAUAAUUUUCACAUUAAUUAGCUUGGGUUGACAGGCAAGUGAAUGACACUCACAUUAUUUACUGUUAUAGGGAAGAAGGCUAAAUCAAUCUACUUUAUAAUCUCAUCAAUCUUAAUUUUUUUAGCUGUUUAGGAAGUUCAAAUGAAAUUUAAGACUUUGCUAAAAAAAAAUCAUCCAAUUUUAAGAAUGAAAAAUAUAUGGUAAAAAGGAAGUCAUUGUUGAUGAUUGUGACAAAUACAAAAAGUUUGAAAAUCUAAUAUCCAUAGCUUUUCAAUGUAAAAGCAAAAAAGAGUGUAACACUAAUGUUGUGGUAUUAUUUGUUGCCUAUAAAUACCAUUCAUAUCCUUCAUCUUCCUCUACAAACAUAACAUGGCCUCCUAUCUCUUUCUCUCCCUAUUCCUCUUCUUUCCCAAUCUUUAUGCUUCUUCUUCAGGAUCUCACUCUUGCUCUCACCUUGAAGCUGCUUCUCUAAUCCAGUUCAAGAACUCCUUUUUCAUCACUCAAACAGUGGAUGCUUAUUAGUUUUACGAUGAGAUUGCUGGCCUUAAAUCUUAUCCCAAGACAAAUUCAUGGAAGGAGGGUACAGAUUGCUGCUCAUGGGAUGGGGUCACUUGUCAUCACCUAAAUGCUCAUGUUAUUGCCAUUGACUUGAGCUGCAGCUAUAUGGCAACUUCCCUUCUGAUACCACUCUCUUCCUUCUUCCUUACCUUCAAAAACUCAACCUUGCCUACAAUGAUUUUAAUCGUUCCAAAAUUCCAUAUGAGUUUGGUCGGUUUGAAAGUCUACUAUAUCUCAACCUUUCUCAUGCAAGGUUUGUAGGAGAAGUCCCAUCCCAAGUCUCCCACCUGUCAAAAUUGGUUUCACUUGAUCUCUCCUCUUGGAUUUAUGACCUAACAUUUGACAAACAUGCUCUGGAACCGAGGUCAGACAUCUGUUUUUGGAUGAAAUUAACAUGCCUUUUGUUAAUGCUCAUGUCUUCAUGAAUCUAUCCUCUUCUCUACGGCCUCUCAGUCUUGUUUAUUGUGAAUUGCAAGGAAAAUUCCCAAAAAACAUUUUUGAUUUGCCAAACCUCAAUUUCCUCAACUUGGGAGGCAACCAAAACCUCAAUCUUGAUCAUUUGAAGUUCAAUUGGAGCAGCAAUCUUGAACAUUUGGAUCUGUCGUGGAUAUCCUUAUUUACAGAAUUGAUUGAUUCAAUUGAUAAUCUACAAGCCUUAAAGUACUUACCUCUAUCAGGAAAUUCUUUCUUUCAAGAAUUGUCUGUCUCAAUCACAAAUUUAUCAUCUUUGGAGUACUUGAUUAUUGGAGACGCAAAUUUAUUUGCAGGAUUGCCUGACUCGAUGGGGAAUCUUGUGUCCUUGAAGUUUUUAGAUCUCCCCUAUUCGAACUUAUUAGGACCGGUUCCAAGAUCACUGGGAAACCUCUUGCAACUCACUCAUUUAGACUUGUUGUGGAACCAAUUGAGUGGACAAAAUCCAUCGUCAAUUCUAAACCUAAAGUAGCUUGAAUACUUAAAUAUAGCUAAAAAUUCAUUAGAGAAGGUUCCAUUCCAGAUGAGGUAACCGCUUUUCCUAAUCUGAUAUCUUUAUAUUUAUAUAGAAAUUUACUCAAUGGAAAGCUUCCGUCAUGGUUGUAUACUGCACCCUCCUUAAAGGAAAUAGAUCUCUCUCGAAAUCAAUUUAGUGGGCAUAUCAAAGAAUUCCAAUCCAAAUCACUAGAAUUGAUAGCGUUAGAGAAUAAUAAACUCAAAGAAUAAUAAACUCAAAGGUCCUCUUCCAUCUUCAAUAUUCCAACUUCUCAAUCUUACCUAUCUCACUUUAUCCUCAAAUAGUCUUGGUGGUGUCAUAGCGUUUAGCAUGUUCUCAAACCUUCCAAAUCUCAAACAUUCGACCUUUCAUAUAACAGCCUAUCCUUAACAUCUAAUACUACUUCUAGUGUUAACCAUAUAUUGCCUAAUCUUGCACACUUACUUUUGUCAUCUUGCAAUCUUAGUGAAUUCCCCCAGUUUUUAAAAUGGCUUAAAAGUUUGGUAAGGUUAGACAUUUCUUGCAACAGAAUUGAAAGCAAGAUUCUACAAUGGAUGCAAGAGGUGGGGAAUGACUCUUUCUAGUAUUUAAAUGCAUCUCAUAACUCUUUGACAGAAGUUGACCACUUUCCAUGGAAGAAUAUUGUAGUUCUUGACUUAAGCUCCAAUUUGAUCUAUGGAAAUCUUCGGAUUCCAGCUUCGACGAUCAAUGUCUUUUUGAUCUCAAAUAAUAGUUUCAAUUGAGAGGUCUCUUAUUUAAUAUACAAUGCCAGUUCUCUUCGAAUUGUUGAUUUGUCCCACAAUAACUUGAGUGGAACAAUUCCAUAAUGUGUUGGAUAAAUGGCAGUACAAAGAACCAAAUCAAAUGAAGCAAAAAGAGAACUAAAAAAACUCAGCAUAGAAUUGUAAUAGAAGUCAUAUAUUUUUCAUUCAAAUUUUUGAAUAUAUGGGAGUUACAAGUAAUGUUUGACAGUUACCUACUAACUUAACUGCCCUUACUUAAUACAUACUAAAAUAAUGCAAGUUGAUUACAAAAGAAGGCUGGCAUACCAGCUAUUACAUCAGUCAAUUUUCCUACUGACUUUGCUGUCAAAAUACAAAAGAAUUGAACAAAGUUCCAUAGGAACAAAACAUCUAAAAUGUGAUCUUCCAAGAGAACCAGCUUCAUUACUUUACUUCAAAACAGUGUAGCAGCUCAAAUUAUACAAUUUGUUGCUGCUGGUCUUUGAUCAAUUUUCUGCUACUGGUUCUCUGUUGCACUGCAGGCCACAGCUUCAACACUCCUCCUUGGGCUGUAUGCAACAAACACCAAUCUUUUCUUUCUUUCAAAGCAUUAAAUCGGUUGGCUCCCAAUGGUUUAGUUAAAAUGUCAGCUAACUGAAUUUCUGAACUGCAAUGAACUAAGCUAACCUCCCUCGAUUGCUCAGCUUCUCUAACAAAAUGAAAUUUGAUUUUGAAGUGUUUAGUCUUACCAUGGAAGACUGGAUUUUUGGCUAUGGCCACAGCUGAUUGGUUAUCCACUCUAAUCUCAGUAGGCUGAGCUUGAUUUUCAUUCAAAUCAUCCAAAAUCUUUCUAAGCCAAAUGGCUUGAUUUACUGCUGCUGCAGCUGAGAUAUACUCAGCCUCUGCUGUGGAUUGUGCAACAGUUUGUUGCUUCUUUGAACUCCAGCUGAAAACACUCGAGCCUAAGGUGAAAAAAUAACCUGAAGUGCUCCUCAUGUCAUCAACUGACCCUGCCCAAUCGCUAUCAGAAUAGCCUAAGAGUUUCAGCUCCUUUGCCCUCCAAAACUUUACACCAGCAUCGAUGGUUCCUUUGACAUACCUUAACACUCUUUUUGUUGCCUUCAGAUGUGCCACAUUACUGCAGUGCAUAAACCUUGAAAGUAGACUAACAGCAUAGACAAUGUCUGGUCUAGUUGCUGUUAAAUAAAGCAGACAACCAAUUAAGCUUCUAUAUGCUUUCUCAUCUACUCGAUCAUGCUUACUGGCACUUGACAAUUUCUCCCCCAAUGCAACUGGUGUAGUGACUGAUUUGCAUUUCGACAUGCAAAAUUUUUCAAGCACCUUGGAAGCAAAUGUUUGUUGACUUAUGAAAAUACCAUCACUUCCUUGUCUGAUUUCCAUACCAAGAAAAUAGGUCAUUAGACCAAGGUCAGUCAUUUCAAAGACAUGUUGCAUCUGCUUCUUAAAGUCUUCUACCAGUUCAUCUUUACAGCCAAUGACUAGCAGAUCAUCAACAUACAAGGAAACAAUUAGCAAAGUUUCCUUCUGAUCCUUCUUAACAUAGAGUGUAGGCUCACUGACACUCUUUGUGAACCCGAGCCUUGCCAAGUAGGCAUCAAUCCUCUCAUACCAGGCUCUUGGAGCCUGUUUUAGGUCAUAUAAGGCCUUUUUCAACUUGUAAACCUUUUGUUCUUCACCAGAGACCUCAAAACCCUCAGGUUGCUCAAUGAAUAUUUCUUCAUUAAGAAAGCCAUUUAGAAAGGCUGACUUAACAUCUAAAUGGUGCACCUUCCAGUGCUUUUGAGCUGCCAAAGCAAGCAGCAGUCUGGUAGUGUCCAACCUUACAACAGGUGCAAAAGUUUCAGCAAAAUCAACCCCUUGCUGCUGACUAUAACCUUUUACAACCAAUCUGGCCUUGUGUCUGUUCAAAGUACCAUUAGCAUUGUUUUUAGUCCUAAAGACCCAUUUGACACCAAUGAUUCUUCUGUUUUCAGGUCUAUCCACAAGCUCCCAUGUAUCAUUUUUCUGAAUCAUUUUAAAUUCAGUUUCCAUAGCAUCCUGCCAGCACUUUUCUUUUGCAGCUUCUUCAAAACAUGAAGGCUCUACUAUGGUUACUGCACAUCUCUCAUAGAUGUCUGUUAAUGUCCUAGUGCCUCGAACAGGUUCAUCAUCAUAGCCAUUUUCAGUUACUUCUUCAUUUUCAGCUUGCUGCAGAUCAACAUCAAUCUGUUCUCCCUCGGGCAAAUUUGCUUCAAUUCCAUCCCAUUUCCAGCUACUUGCUUUACUGAAUUUCACAUCUCUGCUCACUACAACCUUCUUGGUCAGUGGAUCAAAGACUCGGUAUCCUUUCUUCACAUUGCUGUAGCCAACAAACACCCCAGGCAUGGACCUCCUGUCCAACUUGGUUCUUCUCUCCUCAGGUACCAACACAUAACAUAGACAACCAAAUACCUUUAAAUGUGAGACAGAUGGUUUUUGUCCAAACCAGGCUUCAAAGGGUGUUUUACCCUUGACUGCAUUAGUUGGCAGCCUAUUCAACAAGUAAACAGCUGUAUUCACAGCUUCAGCCCAAAAAGCAUUAGGCAUUUUAGCCUCAAAUAACAAACACCUAGCCAUAUCAAGGACUGUUCUGUUUUUCCUUUCACAGACACCAUUUUGUUGUAGUGUGUACACAGUAGUCAAUUGGUGUUGAAUUCCAGCAUCAUCACAUAAUUUUUGAAACUUCUGAGAUACAUACUCAGAACCAUUGUCAGACCUCAAACAUUUCAAUUUGCAAUUUGCUUGGUUUUCAACCAAGGCUUUAAAUUUGCAGAAAGAACCAUAAAUAUCUGACUUAUGCUUUAAAAAAUUCACCCAACAGAACCUUGAAUAAUCAUCAAUAAAAAGUACAAAGUACCUGCUGUCAUUUAAGGAGGUGGUCUUCAUUGGUCCACAAAUGUCUGUAUGAACCAGCUGAAGCUUCCCAUGAGCUCUCCAUGCUUUGUUGACAGGAAAUGGUAACCUGGUCUGUUUUCCUAACUGACAGACUUCACACACAGCAUCCCUUGGCUCAAUUUUAGACAUGUCACUGACCAAAUCCAUCUUUUGCAUCAUAUUCAGAGAAUUGUAGUUCACAUGUCCCAUCCUCCUGUGCCACAAAUCAGUCUCAUCAGACUGAGAUGCAUAUGCUUUAGCCUGAAGCUGAUUCACAUCUACAAUGAAAGUCCUAUCUUGCAUAGCUACUGUGGUUAACACUUCACCAGCAGCAUUUUUGAUCAAACAGUUCUUGCCUUCAAAAAUCAGAGAAUAGCCUUUCUCUAAUAGCUGGCCAACACUUAGCAAGUUUUGGUCAAUAUCAGGUACAUAGAGAACCUCUGAAAUGGUUUUAAUACCUGACUUGGUGCUUAUCAAAGCCUUGUCUUUCCCUUUUGCCUCCAGUAGCUCACCAUUGCCAAUUCUGACUUUGGACUUGAAGGUAGUGUCAAGCUCCUUGAAUAUACUCUUCUCAGAAGCCAUAUGGUGGGUGCAUCCACUGUCAAUCAGCCAAAUUUUGUUAACCUUGCUCGAGCUUGCAAAGCAUGAUGCUGAAAAAACAUGCUCUUCUGGUGUUUCAACCUCUUCUGCAGCUUGAGCUUGGUUUUGAAAUUGUGGUUGUGUUUUUGACUUGCUCUUACAAACCUUUUCAAUGUGGCCAAAUUGCUUGCAGGCUCUGCAUUGAAUGUCUGGUCUGUACCAGCAGUAUUUCUCAAGAUGAGUAGUCUUCUUACAAUGGACACAAGGUGGGAACUUCCUUUUGACAGGUUCUUUCUUCUUCUUCUCAGUCCAAGGCUUCUUGCCUUUGGCAUUUAAGUUUGCACUUGAGCUUUCUCUGCCUCUAGCCUGAAAAGCUCCUUCAUAGUGGUCUUCCUGCCUAUUUGCCCUUCUCUGCUCUUGAGCAUAAAGAGCAUUUAUAAGCUCUGUCAAAGGGAUUGUUGACAAGUCCCUUGAGUCUUCUAGAGAAGAAAUUUUUGCCUCAUACUUCUCUGGCAAGGUUGUUAUGACCUUCUCAACCACUCUUUGGUCACUGAAUUCUUCCCUAAGUAGCCUUAUGUUGUUGACAAUAGCCAUGAUUCUGUCAGCAUACUGCUUGAUGGUUUCUGAGUCCUUCAUUUUGAUAUUUUUAAAAUCUCUUCUCAUGUUGAUCAGCUGCUGUUGCCUGGUCUUGUCAGACCCCUGAAACUCCUCCUUGAGUUUGUCCCAGGCCUGCUUUGGAGUGUCACAAGCCAUUAUUCUUGUGAAAAUAACAUCAGAAACUCCACUUUGAAGGUACGACAUAGCCUUAUACUUCUUGGCACAGUCUUCAUUGUGCUGCUUGAUCUGGGCUAUGGUCGGGUUGGCUCUUAGUAGUGGUGGCUCAGUGUCAUUGAGAACAACAUUCCACAGGUCAUGUGCCUGCAAAUAUGUUCUCAUUUUUACUGCCCAGAUGUUGUAAUUUUCUCCAGCAAAGAUAGGUGGAGGAGGUGGUGUAAAACUCAUUUUCAGCAACCAAAAACAACCUUUGCUUCUUUUGUUUCAAGUAUAGCUUACUUAAUGACAGUGUACAACCAAGGCCCUCAAAGACUGAAAGCUCUGGGUACCAUUUGUUGGAUAAAUGGCAGUACAAAGAACCAAAUCAAAUGAAGCAAAAAGAGAACUAAAAAAACUCAGCAUAGAAUUGUAACUGAAUUCAUAUAUUUUUCAUUCAAAUUUUUGAAUAUAUGGGAGUUACAAGUAAUGUUUGACAGUUACCUACUAACUUAACUGCCCUUACUUAAUACAUACUAAAAUAAUGCAAGUUGAUUACAAAAGAAGGCUGGCAUACCAGCUAUUACAUCAGUCAAUUUUCCUACUGACUUUGCUGUCAAAAUACAAAAGAAUUGAACAAAGUUCCAUAGGAACAAAACAUCUAAAAUGUGAUCUUCCAAGAGAACCAGCUUCAUUACUUUACUUCAAAACAGUGUAGCAGCUCAAAUUAUACAAUUUGUUGCUGCUGGUCUUUGAUCAAUUUUCUGCUACUGGUUCUCUGUUGCACUGCAGGCCACAGCUUCAACACAAUGUUUUGGAAAUUUGAGCAACAGCGUUGAAUUCUUGAAUCUGAAGAAGAACAAGUUCUAUGGGACGAUUCCUUCAACAUUUGCAAAGGGAUGCCAAUUGAGUAAUUUCAACUUAAACGGAAAUCUGUUAGAAGGGCCUUUGACACCAUCCAUCCUUAACUAUAGAGGUCUGAAAGUGCUAGAUCUUGGUAGCAACAAGAUCAAUGACGCAUUUCCUCAUUGGUUGGGAAGUCUUCCACAGCUACAAAUUCUUGUACUAAAGUCAAAUCAAAUAUACAGUUCCUUGUGUGUCAAUAGCUCAAGGUUUGGCCCUUUUUUCUCUAAAAUCCAAAUUUUUGACCUUUCAAGUAAUUAUUUUUCUGGACCCCUACCUUUGAGAUACAUCAACAGCUUCAAGGCUAUCAUAAAUCUCACAAAAGAUGCAAGUACGAGGACAUACAUGGGUAUGAAGGAUUUUAAUAGUAGUAUUGGAAUUUAUAGCUAUUCCAUUGGAAUUGUCGUGAAAGGACAAGAUAUAACAUUGAAUAAAAUUUUCGUCAUGUGGGCGAUCAUUGAUCUCUUAAAUAAGAAGUUUGAUGGAUAGAUUCCCAAGGUUAUUGGAAAGCGUAGAUCACUCAAUGGGCUAAACCUUUCUCAUAAUAACCUUAGUGGUUACAAUAUUCCCUCAUCAAUAGAGAGUUUGACCAACCUUGAAUGGCUAGGCCUCUCUUCAAACAAGCUGGUUGGAAGGAUUCCAAGGGAACUGCUCAAUUUGACAGCUCUUUCUACGUUAAACCUUUCAAUGAAUGAAUUGAUUGGGUGCAUCCCUCAAGGAAAACAAUUCAAUACCUUUGCAAAUACUUCCUAUGAAGGGAACAAAGGAUUACAUGGUUUUCCAUUGUCAAGUGAUUGCAACAAUAAUGAGCUACCACCACCUUCAAACUUAUUAGAAGAAGGUGGAUCAAAAUCAAAAUUUGGUUUUGGGUGGAAAGUAGUGUUGUUGGGUUAUGGAUGUGGAGUGGUGUUAGGAUUAGGCGUGGGAUAUGUAGUUUUCCAAACUGGUAAGCCAAAGUGGUUUAGAAACUUGAGAAGAUUGUGCCUUAACUUAUGGGGUUUCAGUUUUCCUCGAUUAAAUCUAAACAACCGAAUAUCCUUUUAAAAAAUUAAGGUACAAAUUUUAAAAUAAAACAAUUUAAAGGUAAGCUUAUUUUCGAGGGUUCAAAUGUCGUGUCCUAACUUACGGAACGUGACAUUUUGUUAUCUCGAGACGAGAGGGCAUUUAAUGUUUGUUUCAAUUUAUUCAAGCAUUUCUCUAAUCAACAUCAAUAAAGAAGGGGUCGUAUUUUAAAUUCUUUUCGAGUUUUUGAUUUUAGACGUUAAGACUGUAAGGCCUAAUUUUGGCCCGGGGCCCGUACAAAUAUAAACUAAAUAAAAAAUAAAAGUCCAAAAUGCAUUAGUCUAUUUACAAACUAAACUCAGACCCAAACAAGCCCAACAACCAACCAUAACCCAAAUUCAAAACCUAAAAUCUAGACCCAAAAAUACAAGCCCGAUAGGCCCAAUAUUUUAAUUCUCAGGAAACCUUAGGGUUUCCACCUUUGCGCCGCAGCCUUCAGCCGCCGUACAGCCCCAGCGCCACUCGUGCCUCCAAGUCAACGCGCCGUAUACCACCCGAGUGCCUGCACACACUCCGUACCUGCAAAAAAAACAAGUAAACAGCAGCAGAGCAACAGCCAAUACGAAGAACAAAGAAAAAAAUUAUAUUUUUUAUUUUUUUGAACAUUCGGCUAUAAAGCCUUGAACAAUCCAUUGUAAGUUUCUUUACGGAGAUGAUAAAAAGAGAAAUAUACUGAGAAAAUUAAAGGUGAUUCACUCACUAAUCCUUUGUUCUUCUUUUUUCGUUUUUAUUUCUUGCAUUAUUUAGAAUCUAUCUAACAAAUACAAAAAGGGAAGGCCUUCUCACCUGUUGACCAGCGUCGACCUAGUCGGUGGCUGCUUCUCUAGUUCAAAGGAAUACGGAUCCCUGGGGAUCCGUUUAAAGCUGUGACGGAGACUGGGGUGCACUUGACACCACUGUCGCUCGCAGGUCGGCCCAGAGAAGAGAGAGGGUCAAGAGGAUUUUAAGGGGAAAGAUUUUUAAGAUUUUUUAAAUCUGCCAAAUGAAAGCUUUUAGGGUAAAUUUUAGUUUAUAUAUGUGUUUAAUACGGUGUCGUUUUAAGCCGUAAGAUUUGGCGUUGAAGCGGCAUCGUUUCAUGGCACGGCCUGUGCGCGUGACCCGACCCGAGGAGGAUCUGCGUGUUUUCAUAGUUUUUGGGGUAUUUAAGCCCUUAGUCCCUCUGCUUUUUCUACCUUCUUCAAUCGGGUCCCUUUCCUCUGCUUUGUAUUUUUAAUUUUGCCCCAAGACUUCGGCCUUUGAUUCAUUUUGGCCCGCGUAGAAAUGAUGCGUUUUGUGGCCUUGGAAUAAUUUCCCGAUCAGUCCCCCGUCGUUCUUUGCGUGUUCAUUUAGGCCUUGAUUUAUAUUUUAUUAAUCUUUUGCAUUUCAUAAUUUGUACCUCAUGUUUUAUUUUGAUUGCAAGUUAAUCCUUAACUUUUUAGCUUCAUUUUUUCCCUCACAUUAUUUAUUGUAAACUGUUUUACUAUAUAUUAUUUAAAAUUAUUUAUAUUAUCUACUUUUAAGUGCUUUAUAUAUCGUCUAUUUUAAAUCUAUUUUUUUUUCGUAUUAUUUAUUCUAAAAUAGUUUUAUUGCUUAGCUUAAAUUGUUCUAUAUAUAUAUUGUUUUGUAUGUUAUGCAUUUUAAAUUUCUUUUCAUUUAUUAUCUUAUAUGUUACUUUAAAUCGUCUUAUAAAUUACUUAUUUUAAAUUGCUUUGUAUAUUAUUUAAUUCAAAAGUAUUCAUUCUAUAACACUUAUUUAAAUAAUUACGUAUAUAUCUCUAUUUUUUUAAUUCAUCAAUUCAUGUAUUUAUUAUCAUUUAAAACUUGUUUUAUAUCAUAUUGUUUUUUUAUUUUCAUUUUGUUUUGUAUAUCUUAUAUUGAGUAUAUUAUAUUAGGCUAUGUCUAUUAUUGUGGCAUAUUAUUUCAUUUUUGUAUUGUUACAUCAAUUAUUCUCCAUAUAUGAUUGAAAUUUGGGUUAUACUUUUAGGUUAGUUAUAUUUAAUUGUUUAUUUUGUUAGUCGACUAAAUAAGGCUAUAUUAUCUUCAUUCAUCAACUGUUGUAUUUCAUGCAUGCAUGUUAUUCUAUGUUUUCAUUUUUCCUCGUGGUUUACAAAUGUCAUUUUAUAAUGCCCAAAUCUUUAAAAUUAAUUAUUUUAUUUUAUUUCAAAUCAAAUCAAUGCGUUUUAAGCUGGUUUUACAAUUAUUUAUUUGAAAAUUCCUUAAAACGAAGGCAAUGUUUGAUGUUUGGAAAUUCGGGGAAUCGUGCCCUAUCAUGCUGGGUUUCGAUUUCCCGUUUGUUCAAAAUAAUCGAAUAUUCCUUUAGAAUUUCACUCGUGUUUUUCAAAUUCUGAAACAAGGCAAUGUUCAAUGUUUGGAAAUUCAGAGAGUCGUGCCCUAUCGUGCUGGGUUUCGAUUUUUGAUUUGUUCAAAAUAAUUGAAUAUUCCUUUAGAAAUUCACUCGUGUUUUAUAAAUUCUAAAGCAAGAUAAUGUUUAAUGUUUGGAAAUUCGAGAAAUUGUGCCCUACCGUGCUGGGUUUCGGUAUUUCGUUGGACUAAAUAAUAUUUGGACAUACUUUUGUAAUUUUCAACAUAUUAAAUUUUGGAAGUAAAAAAUUUAUCGUGUUUUCGAGGGUAUAAAGGAUCGUGUCCUAUCGUGCUGGAUGUGAUGUUGUAUACCUUUGAAACAAGAAGAUUCUGACGACCAACUUAAGUCAUUCAAAUGUUUUAAAAGGAACCAUAUUUCAAAAAUAGCUUUAAAUAUUAGACAUAAGGACAGUACUUAAUCAAUUCGGUACCAAUUUUGGGCAUAGUGAGGGUGCUAAUCCUUCCUCAUACGUAACAGACUCACGAACCCAUUUUCUCUAAUUUCGUAGGCCAAAAUUGAUUUAAAUGGAAUAAAAUAUUUUAUUAAGGUGAUCCAAUCACACCAAAACAAAAGCUUGGUGGCGACUCCACGUUUGGUUUUCAAAAAGUUGAUCCCCGUUUUUCGUUUCUAAAAUAAAAAUAAAAUAAAAAUGGUUUCAACAAAGACAUUAGUUAAUCAAUUAGGUACCUAUUUUGGGCGUUACGAGGGUGCUAAACCUUCCUUGCACGUAACCGACUCUCGAACCUAUUUUCUCGAAUUUCGUAAACCAAAAUUGUUGUUUUAGUAAAUCAAAACUUUUUAUUAAAACGAUCAAUCACGAGGUGAUCUGAUCACACAUCAUAAAAAAAAGAUUGGUGGCGGCUCCCAUUUUUCGCUUUCAAAUUAAAAGUCGACUGUUGUUUUCAAAACAAAAAAAUGGUUCGGCAAUUGACAUGACAUACACAUGGAUUAUCAUGUGGAUGCCAUGUUAGCAAAGUUAACAGACAAUAAAUUUUCUAUCUAUUAAGUGAUUUGAUAAAUAAUACAAGCUCAAGAGUUAAAAAAGAUGAAAAAAUAUACGGAGACUAAAAUGAUUUUUUUAUGUCAACACCACCAAAUAUUUUGGAAAAAGAUGACUCAAAAUCAAACAUUGCUUUUGGCUGGAAAGCGGUGUUGAUAGGUUAUGGAUGUGGAGUAGUGUUUGGAAUGACCGUGGGAUAUGUUGUUUUCCAAACUGGUAAGCCAAAAUGGUUUGUAGAUUUGGUUGAAGACUAACAUGGGAAGAGGCGAAGAAGAAAGUCAAAGAAUGGCAACCGCAACAAUAGACAAAGGAGGAUAUAAUUAGUGCAAAUGAUGUUCAAGCAUUAGUGUUGUAUUUUCAUAAUUUCCUGUUUUGUAGUCUGUUUUGCCUAUGGUGAAGGGUUGCAUUGGUAUGAGUUUGUCUUUGUAUAAAUUCCUGUCUUUCAUUGCAUUUCGUACUGUAUGUAAGGGUUUAUUUGAGUGUAAUAUUUUAUAUGGUGCUGCUGUUUAUGUCUUCUUUCAUGACUUUCGAUUCAGUCUCAACAAUCUUAGCUACUGCUCACUAAAAGAAAAUGGAGAAAACAAAAUGUCUCAAUGAUCUCUAUUGUAUUUUCAUAAUUUUUUACAAGUAUGUCUAAUUUUUUGCUUUGACGAAUUUAACUAUAUGUCUGUCUUUAGCAUUGUGUACGGUCUAUUCCCAGUGAUGGGUUGUUUAGGAAUUAUUUGACAAGCUAACAGCUUAAGUUUACCGCUAACAUGGAAAUCAAGAUUUUGAUAUUACCAAGUCAUAUUAUAUAUGAUUAGCUUUGGUUGACACUGAUGCAUAGAAAGCAAUACCAAGUCAAUAGACACUGACAUUCUUAUUCUUCCACCUUUGGGACGUACUUGACCAAAAUAAGUUGGAAUUUCGGGUUUAGAAUUGCUAAAUAUUAGAAGUUGGAAUUCAUUAAAAUUAAAAGUGCAGUACAUAGAUUAAUCACGAUACAAAAUAGUUGCAUAUGAACCCUAAUUUGAUGAAACGCCAAUUUGAUAGAAUGAUGAAUUUGUAGAAAUAUGUGUUAUUGAAACCCAUAUGUUGAUUUGAUAGAAUGAAUGACUUUAAUUCAUGUUGAUUGAGUGUAGUUGGAUUGAUGGAUGCUUCAUAUGAUUUUUCAGCAUUGUUCUUUUCUGUCGAUAUAUUCUGUAUAGUCGAUUUUGGAUUUUUUGGAAGUUUAUUUUUGGAAGCAUGCUUACAAGGGAAGCUCUAGUUAACAAUAUGAAUUGUUUUGAACUUGAGUAUUAGACUAAUGUUGAUGAAUGGGCUUAAUUGAAAAUUUUUGGAAUUAGCACGAGAAUUGAUUACUCCACUAUGUGAUGUUGGGAAGAAACCGAACAACCGAAACAAAGCGAAAGCACAACCGGUGUUCUUUCUCUCCUUAUAACUCCUGUCAAAAAUUAUGGCAAGCACAAUAGCACAAGAUAUGUUCUCUAGCAACCUUAAUCAACCACAAAUCAACUAAUGCAACCACAACAAAAAUAAAUAGGGACACCAGUAUUUUUACGUGGAAAACCCCUUUAAAUCAAGGGUAAAAACCACGGGACUUUAGAGUCCGAUCAAGAGUUCCACUAUCAUCAAAUGUUCAACUACAAGAUCACAAUAUCAAGCCUACAACAAGCAUUCAACUCCAACAAGACUAACAAUAUGUAAUCAUUAGCAAAAGAGAGAAAAAUGAGAGAAUAUCACCAAAAAUGCAACUGCUGAAAAAUGGGUAUUUUCGAUGCUACAAGACUCGGAUGAAAAAUCCGACCGUACAAAGUCAAGAACACCUUAUCGCCUAGCUGCUGUCCAAAAAUCAGCUCAAUCGAACCAUGGAUGAACCUUCGAUCGAAGAGUUGAUCACUGCUGCACCAAACUUGAAAAACUAAAAUUUUCUUCUCUCUUUCUCUCUGUUUUAAUUUGAGAUUUUUUUUUUGUUUUUGGCUCUGCAAAAAUUUCUGCCCACAUCACCCGUUAAAAGCCCCCCAAAAAUGGCUUUUGACAAAACCAAAAAGAGACAAUAAAAUGUGGCAGAAAUUAUGGGUUUCCCACAUAGUGGGACCCACACCUAACAAAUCUCCCCCUCCAACUAUGUGGGGAAUGCCUCCAUGCCGGAGGUCAAACAACAUGCUUCAAACUUUCCUCUUGGUAAGGCCUUCGUCAACAUAUCAGCACCAUUAUCAUUAGUGUGUAUCUUCUCAAGCUCUAACAGCUUAGCUUCAAGAACAUCUCGUAUCCAAUGGUACCUCACAUCAAUAUGCUUAGAUCUAGCAUGAAAAGUUGAGUUCUUACCAAGAUGAAUAGCACUCUGGCUAUCACAGUACAGGGCAUACUUCUCCUGAGUAAAACCAAGCUCAUGCACAAACUUCUUCAUCCAAAGCGUCUCCUUACAUGCUUCGGUUGCUGCAAUGAACUCUGAUUCGGUGGUGGACAAUGCAACACACUUUUGCAGUCUCGAUUGCCAUGCCACAGCUCCUCCUGCAUAAGUGAUUAAGUAACCUGAAGUAGAUCUCCUCGAGUCAAUGUCUCCGGCCAUGUCUGAAUCUGUAUACCCAACAAGAACAGGUUUCUCAUUGCCGAAACAAAGUUUCAUGUUGGAAGUGCCACAAAGAUAUCUCAUAAUCCACUUCACUGCAUUCUAAUGCUCUCUGCCUGGACUAGAAAGAAACCGACUAACUGUACCAACGGCAUAAGCCAAGUCUGGUCUCGUGCAAACCAUUGCGUACAUCAAACUACCCACGGCUGAAGAGUAAGGAAUUUUCUGCAUCUCUUCAUUCUCCUUUUCUGUGGAAGGACUAUGCUUAACACUUAAUCUAAAGUGCAUAGCAAAGGGAGUAUUCACCGCUUUAGCUUUGUCCAUACUAAACCUUUGAAGUACUUUCUCAAUGUACCUCUCUUGUGAUAACCAUAAUUUCUUGGCCUUUCUAUCACGUGUCAGUCUUAUGCCAAGAAUUUGCUUUGCUGGCCCCAAAUCCUUCAUUGCAAAGGAUUUACUCAACUCUUGUUUCAACUUCUCAAUUCUAGAAGCAUUCUGACCAACAAUAAGCAUAUCAUCAACAUAGAGCAAAAGAAUAAUAAAAUCAUCACCAGAGAAUCUCUUAACAAACACACAAUGAUUAAAAGUAGACUUCUUGUAGCCUUGCUCCCCCAUAACAGACUCAAACUUCUUGUACCACUGCCUUGGAGCUUGCUUCAAACCAUACAAGCUAUUCUUCAAUCUGCACACAUAGUCCUCUUUCCCUUGUGCAACAAAACCCUCUGGCUGCUCCAUGUAAAGCUCUUCUUCCAAGUCACCAUGAAGAAAAGCAGUUUUCACAUCCAUUUGUUCAACCUCUAGGUCAUAACAAGCUGCCAAACUCAGUAUAGUUCUGAUAGAGGACAUCUUCACAACCGGAGAAAAUAUUUCUUCAAAAUCAACCCCAUUUUUCUGAGUAUAACCCUUGACGACCAAUCUAGCUUUGUAUCGUGGAGAUGAAGACUUCUCUUCUUGCUUCAACCUGUAAACCCAUCGAUUAUUCAAAGCUCUUUUUCCCUUAGGCAGUUUCACCAAUUCAAAAGUAUGGUUCUCAUGCAAGGAUUGAAGUUCGUCUUUCAUCGCUUCAACCCACUGAUCUUUGCAUUCACUCUCCAUAGCCUCUUCAUAACAUUCAGGUUCUCCCCCGUCAGUCAAAAGAACAUAUUCAUCAGGAGAAUACCUGACAGAAGAUCGUCGAUCUCUGGAAGACCUUCGAAGUGGAACUGCUGGUGGAGCUAUAGGUGCUUGUUGUUGAUCAUUCACAACAUCAUCCAUGGGAGUAUCAAAGUCACCUAUAGUCUGAUGGUCACCACUAACAUCACCAUGCACAUCAUCCUGGAUAGGAUCUGGUGAAGAGUCUAGGGGAACCGGAUUCACAUCGAUCAAGUCACCACUACCUUGUGAAUCCACUUUCUCCGUCUUCUCAAUGUCAUCAAUGGUCUGAUCCUCAAUGAAGACAACAUCUCUGCUUCUCACGAGUUUCUUCUGAACUGGAUCAUAGAGUCUAUAACCAAACUCACCAUCUAGACCAUAACCAAUAAAAAUGCAUUGUCGAGCCUUGGCAUCCAACUUGGAUCUUUCAUCCUUUAGAACAUGAACAAAUGCUUUACAACCAAACACACGUAGGUGAUCAUAUGACACGUCUUUACCAAACCAAACUCUAUCUGCCACAUCACCUUUUAAAGGAACACUAGGAGACAGAUUUAUCACAUGUGUCACUGUAUUCAAAGCUUCAGCCCAAAACGAUCUUGGUAACUUUGCAUCUGACAACAAACAUCUGACUCUCUCAAUCAAUGUUUGGUUCAUUCUUUCAGCUAACCCAUUUAACUGUGGAGUCUUUGGUGGUGUUCUCUGAUGUCUGAUUCCCUGUCGCAAACAAUACUCAUGAAAUGACCCUGUGUACUCGCCAUCAUUAUCAGUACGAAUGCACUUCAACUUCUUCCCAGUUUCCCUUUCAACUGAUGCUUGAAACUGUUUAAACACCUCAAAGACUUGAUUUUUAGACUUCAAAGUGUAAACCCAUAGCUUUCUUGAACAAUCAUCAAUGAAAGUCACCAAGUAAAGUGCACCACCAUGUGAUCUUACUUUUAUUGGACCACAAACAUCUGAAUGGACCAACUCUAGCAACUCUGAUUUCCUAUGAGAAGGAUGGCUUCUAAAUGAAACUCUUCUCUGCUUUCCUGCUAGACAAUGGGCACAAUUCUUCAGUGUAGCAUUCUUUAAACCCGAAAGUUGAUUCUUCUUCGCUAAACAGCUAAGCCCCUUCUCACUCAUGUGACUGAGUCGUUUAUGCCACAACUCAGUUGAGCUGUCAUUAAGUGUCACAUUCACCGUCUCUUGAGAAGUCAAAGCUUGCAUCAAGUACAAAUUUGAGCUCUUCUUUCCUCGAGCCACAACCAAGGAGCCUUUAGUCAGCUUCCACUGCCCUUCACUGAAGGUGUUACAGAAUCCCUCAUCAUCAAGCUUUCUUGCAGAAAUCAAAUUCAAACGGACAUCCGGUGCAUGUCUGACAUCCUUGAGAGUUAACUUUGUUCCAUUGUUACUCACCAAGCUAACAUCUCCCAUACCAAUAACCGAAACCAAACCAUCAUUACCCAUCUUCAAUACCCCAAAAUCACCAGGAGUAUAAGAUGUGAAGAAUUCCUUCCUCGACAUGACAUGAAGUGAUGCACCGGUAUCAAUCACCCAACUAGUCUCGUUGCAUGCUAGGUUGACCAAAUUCUCAUCACAAAUAACUAACAGAUCUUCACGAGUAACAGUAGCAACACGCUCAGAUUUUUCAUCGUUAUUCCAAUCGUGUUUAUCACCACCACCUUUGUUCUCUUUCUUCCACUUGAAGCAAUAUUUCUUGAUAUGACCUUUCUUACCACAAUGAUGACACUCAAGAUUCUUGUAUCUCGAUCUUGACUUGCUUCGGCCUUUAUCUCUACCCUUUCCAUCUUUGUCUCUGUUUCUCCCCUAUUCUCGAUAACCAACACCUCGGACUGUGAUGUAGAACCCUGAGAUCUUCUUCUAACCUCUUCAUUCAACACACCACUCUUAGCCAAAUCCAAAAUAAUAAUACCCUGUGGGGCAAAAUUAAUGAGUGAGACUCGAAAGGUCUCCCAAGAGUCUGGUAGAGUAGCAAGCAACCAAAGUCCUAAAAUCUCGUCAUCAAAUUUGACACCCAUACCAAGCAACUGAUUCAUCACACUCUGAAAUUCACUAACAUGGUCAGCUAUAGACAUUCCUUCUUUAUAUUUCAGCGCCAUCAUUUUCUUCAGCAAAAACAACUUGUUAUUGCCCGACCUCGAAGCAUACAAGCUUUCAAGCUUCUCCCACAAUGUUCGAGCAUGUGUCUCCUGAUCAAUGUGGUUGUAAACAUUUUCUUCAACAAAUUGCCGAAUAAAGCCACACACUUGUUGAUGCUCAAAUUCCCAUUCUUCAUCACUUUUCGAAUCGGGUUUUUUAGUAGUAAAGACCGGAAGAUGCAAAGCCUUCACAAACAACAAGUCCUUCAUUUUAUUCUGCCAAAGUUGAUAAUUUGUGCCAUUCAACAUAAUCAUCUUGCUCGUAUUAAUUUCCAUAAUUAUCUGACACAAUAACCAAGCUCUGGUACCAGUUUGUUGGGAAGAAACCGAACAACCGAAACAAAGCGAAAGCACAACUGGUGUUCUUUCUCUCCUUAUAACUCCUGUCAAAAAUUAUGGCAAGCACAAUAGCACAAGAUAUGUUCUCUAGUAACCUUAAUCAACCACAAAUCAACUAAUGCAACCACAACAAAAAUAAAUAGAGACACCGGUAUUUUUACGUGGAAAACCCCUUUAAAUCAAGGGUAAAAACCACGGGACUUUAGAGUCCGAUCAAGAGUUCCACUAUCAUCAAAUGUUUAACUGCAAGAUCACAAUAUCAAGCCUACAACAAGCAUUCAACUCCAACAAGGCUAACAAUAAAUAAUCUUUAGCAAAAGAGAGAAAAAUGAGAGAAUAUCACCAAAAAUGCAGCUGCUGAAAAAUGGGUAUUUUCGAUGCUACAAGACUCGGAUGAAAAAUCUGACCGUACAAAGUCAAGAACACCUUAUCGCCUAGUUGCUGUCCAAAAAUCAGCUCAAUCGAACCAUGGAUGAACCUUCGAUCGAAGAGUUGAUCACUGCUGCACCAAACUUGAAAAACUGAAAUUUUCUUCUCUCUUUCUCUCUAUUUUAAUUUGAGAUUUUUUUUUGUUUUUGGCUCUGCAAAAAUUUCUGCCCACAUCACCCGUUAAAAGCCCCCCAAAAAUGGCUUUUGACAAAACCAAAAAGAGACAAUAAAAUGUGUCAAAAAUUAUGGGUUUCCCACAUAGUGGGACCCACACCUAACAUGUGAUUUAUGAGCUUCGCCUUGAAUUAGUGGCCUGACUGAGCAAACGAGGAUGGGUACUUGGUUGUUAUCUACCUUCGCGUCAAAAGAUUCAGUGUUUUCUAACAUGCUCCACUAAUGUAGAUAUGAGUAAAGUAAUAAUUUAUUUAAGUUUGAUUAACUAUUCAAUUCAGGUGGAUUGUCAUCCACACUUGUGUUCUAAGAUAAUCGAUCUGAACUAAAAAAAAGGAAAAAAAAUAGGGAACUUAAUUGUUCAUUUUGCACAUUAUCUUCCGAUCUCAUGUUUAUUGAUUAAUUUAGGGAUAAAGUACUUAGGUCUAUCAAUAAAUUCUUUCUUUCAAAGAUUGUCUGUCUCAAUCACAAAUUUAUCAUCUUUGGUGUACUUGAUUAUUUCAGUUGCAAAUAUUUGUGGAGGAUUGCCUGACUCGAUGGGGAAUCUUGUGCUCUUGAAGCUUUUGGAUCUCGUCUGUUCUAACUUAUCAGGACUGAUUCUGAGAUCAUUGGGGAACCUCUUGCAACUCACACAUUUAAACUUGGCACGGAACCAAUUGAGUAGAUAAAUUCCAAGAUCAUUGGGGAACCUCUUGCAACUCACUCAUUUAGACUUGUCAAUGAACCAAUUGAGUGAACAAAUUCCAUCAUCAAUUCAAAACCUAAUGCAGUUUGAAUUCUUGGAUAUAACAGAAAAUUCAUUAGAAGGUUCCAUUCCAGAUGAGGUAACCGCUUUUACUAAUCUAAUAUCUUUAUGCUUAUCUUACAAUUUACUCAACGGAACUCUUCCUUCAUGGUUGUAUACUGCUCCCUCCUUAAACAUAAUACAUCUCUCUCAAAAUCAUUUCAGUGGGCAUAUCAAAGAAUUCCAAUCCAAAUCACUAGAAUUGAUAGAAUUAGAGAAUAAUAAACUCCAAGGUCCUCUUCCAUCUUCAAUAUUCCAACUUCUCAAUCUUACCUAUCUCACUUUAUCCUCAAAUAAUCUUAGUGGUGUCAUAGAGUUUAGCAUGUUCUCAAACCUUCCAAAUCUCAAACAUCUUGACCUUUCAUAUAAUAGCCUAUCCUUAACAUCUAAUAGUACUUCUAGUAUUAAUCAUAUAUUGCCUACUCUUACAAACUUAUUUUUGUCAUCUUGCAAACUUAGUGAAUUCCCCCAAUUUUUGAAAUGGUUUAAACGCUUGGAAAGGUUAGACCUUUCUUUCAACAAAAUUGAAGGCAAGAUCCCACAAUGGACGCAAGAGGUGGGGAAUGACUCUUUGACGUACUUAAAUGUAUCUCACAAUUCUUUAACAGAAGUUGAGCAAUUUCCAUGGUAAAAGAUCAAAGCUCUUGACUUAAGCUCCAAUUUGAUCUGUGGAAAUCUUUCAAUUCCAGCUUCGACGAUCAAUGUCUUUUUUAUCUAAAAUAAUAGUUUAGGUGGAGAGGUCUCUCUUUGAUAUGCAAUGCCGGUGAUCUUCAAAUUCUUGACUUGUCCCACAAUAACUUGAGUGGAACAAUACUGCAAUUUGGAAAAUUGAGCAACAACCUUGAAUUCUUGAAUCUAAAGAAGAACAAAUUUUAUGGAACGAUUCCUCCAACAUUUGCAAAGGGAUGCUAAUUUUGUAAUUUCAACUUAAAAGGAAACCUGUUAAAAGGGCCUUUGACACCAUCCAUCCUUAAUUGUAGAGGUCUGAAAGUGUUAGAUCUUGGUAACAACAAGAUCAACUUCAAAUUUUUUAUUAUUUUAUUUUCCUUUUUUUCUUCCUUCAAAAUUUUUAUUAUAUUUUUUUGUUUUGUGUCAUAGAUACCCCACCUCUUCGAAAAUGUUCAUAGUGAAACAACGAGUUUGAACAACUUCGAUCAUUUUUCUGCAAAAAUUUAAAUAUGGGGGUUUCCAAAUCUUUUCCCUUUAUAAUAAUGAAUAUUGAGGACAAUAUCCUAAUUUGAUGAUGUUGAAAAGUCAAAUUAAAAGGGGUGUUGAAAAGUCAAAAAAAUGGGAGGUGCAAGUGGCACCGAAAGAAAAAAUGGUAGGCAAGUUGUUUAAAGUUGAAUGGGAUAAUUGCAAUUUUGGUCUCUAAUUUUUUAGGCCAUUUGCAAGUUAGUCCCUGAACCUCAACUAUAAAUAGGCCUAACCAUUUCUCAUUUACACCAUCCCAACCAAUCUUUCUCUCUUAGUUUUCUUUCUUCUCCCAUUUGAGAAUUUUUAAGGAAUUCUAUUUGUUUGUAAUAUUUUGAAGAUAGUAAAGUUAUCAUCUGGUGUUAGUGCCCGAGGACGUAGGUAUAAUUUACCGAACCUCGUUAAAACUCUUGUGUUCUUUCUUGUCCUAUUUUUCUUUCAAUAUUUGAGGGUAUAAUAGUAGUAUUUAAUUGUGCUAUUAAAUUACUAUAGAAGGGAUAUUCUGACUAAGGAAAGACUUGGUAUUUAAGAGAUCCAUGUGAUCCACCUCUCUUCCCUGGGAAUUGAACUUUGUGUGAUUUUUUAGUACAAUAAUUUACACGCUUACAACAAGUGGUAUCAGAGCCGAAGGUUAAUCGUAGUAUGCUUUGUGGUUGCAGUUUGAACUGAUCUUCCACAUCAGAAAAGAUUUCCUUAGGUAUAUUGAAAGAUUAUGGAGAAAACGGUCAGUGUAGGAGCUUCAACAUCGUCCAUGUGGACAAGACCGACAAUUGCAAAUGUAAGACUGGCCGUGGAGAUCUUUGAUGGCACGGGCCAUUUUGGUAUGUGGCAAAGUGAGGUUCUAGAUGCCCUUUUUCAGCAGGGUCUAGACAUUGCCAUUGAUGAAGAGAAACCAGAUGACGUACAGGAGAAAGAUUGGAAGGCGAUCAAUCGGUUGGCAUGUGGCACAAUUCGAUCAUGCCUUUCUCGAGAGCAGAGGUAUGCUUUUUCAAAGGAGACUUCUGCAAAUAAGUUGUGGGUGGCACUUGAAGAAAAUUUUUUGAAGAAAAACAGUCAAAAUAAGCUCCACUUGAAGAAAAGACUAUUUCGCUUCACUUACGUCCCAAGUACCACAAUGAAUGAUCACAUCACCAAAUUUAAUCAGUUAGUCACUGAUUUGCUAAAUAUGGAUGAGACAUUCAAAGAUGAAGAUUUGGCUUUGAUGCUGUUAAGGUCACUUCCUGAGGAGUUUGAGUUCCUAGAAACUACUCUACUUCAUGGCAGGAGUGAUAUAUCUCUGAGCGAAGUCUGUGCGGCCUUAUACAGUUAUGAACAGAGAAAGAAGGACAAACAGAAAAACUUAAUCAGAGAUACAGAAGCUUUAGUAGUCCGAGGUCGUUCAUACACUCGGAAGAAAACUCAGAAGGGGAGAUCAAAGUCAAAGUCUAGACUCGGGAAAGAUGAAUGUGCCUUUUGUCAUGAGAAAGGCCACUGGAAGAAAAAUUGUCCAAAGCUGAAGAAUAAGGGAAAAGCUGCUGUAGAUGCUUGUGUUGCAAAGCAUGAUACUAGUGACUCUGAACUAUCACUGGUUGCAUCAUCAUCGUCGUUCCAUUCAGAUGAGUGGAUAUUGGAUUCGGGUUGUACCUAUCAUAUGUCCCCUAACCGGAAGUAGUUCUCUGAUUUAGUAGAACUAAAUGGAGGAGUUGUUUAUAUGGGCAAUGACAAUGCCUGUAAAACUGUUGGGAUAGGUUUAAUCCAAUUAAAGAAUCAAGAUGGAUCAACUAGAGUUCUGACUGAUGUUCGGUACGUGCCCAGUUUGAAGAAAAAUCUCAUCUCAUUGGGAGCCUUGGAAUCUAAUGGUUCAGUUGUUACUAUGAGAGAUGGGAUUUUGAAGGUGACAUCUGGUGCACUUGUGAUAUUGAAGGGCAUCAGGAAAAAUAACUUGUAUUACUACCAAGGUAGUACAGUUAUUGGAGCAGUCGCUACAGCUUCCGGUAACAAAGAAUUGGACUCAAUGCAGUUGUGGCAUAUGAAGUUGGGACAUGCCAGCGAAAAAUCCUUGCAAAUUCUGGCAAAGCAAGGAUUGUUGAAAGGUGCAAAGGCUUCCAAAUUAAAAUUUUGCGAGCAUUGUGUUCUAGGAAAGCAAAAGAGAGUGAAAUUCGGUACUACUAUCCAUAAUACAAAAGGUAUUUUGGAAUAUGUUCACUCAGAUGUGUAGGGGCCUUCCAAGACACUUUCAUUGGGAGGAAAACACUACUUUGUUACUUUUGUUGAUGACUUUUCCAGAAGAGUUUGGGUGUAUACCAUGAGAACUAAGGAUGAAGUGCUUAGAGUUUUUCUUAAAUGGAAAACUAUGAGCGAAAACCAGACUGGCAAGAAAAUCAAGCGGCUUAGGACGGACAAUGGAGGGGAAUAUAAAAGUGAUCCGUUCUUCGAUGUGUGCCAAGAGUAUGGUAUUGUUCAACACUUCACAGUUAGGGAUACACCACAGCAGAAUGGAUUGGCAGAGCGUAUGAAUCGAACAUUGCUGGAGAAAGUUUGAUGUAUGUUGUCCAAUGCUGGGUUGGGCAAGCAAAUUUGGGCUGAGGCUGUGACAUACGCUGGCCAUCUUGUUAAUCGUUUGCCAUCAUCUGCAUUAGAAAGAAAAACUCCUAUGGAGGUAUGGUCUGGAAAAUCGGCUACGGAUUAUGAUUCCUUACAUUUGUUUGGAUCCACUGCAUAUUACCAUGUGAAGGAGUCAAAGUUAGAUCCGAGGGCAAAGAAAGCUCUCUUUAUGGGAAUCACUUCUGGAGUGAAGGGAUUUCGUCUUUGGUGCUUAAGCACAAAGAAAAUGAUCUGUAGCAGAGAUGUUACCUUUGAUGAAUCUGCCACAUUGAAAAAGGUAGCAGAUAAAGAUAUUCAGACGAGCAAUACUCCACAGUAGGUGGAGUGUACUCCAAAACAGGUGGAGUUUGAGCAGAUGGGGAUUUGCCCAGUUAAUAAGUCUAAUUCUCCAGCCACAAUGGAGGAAUUAGAGGUUGAAGAGGUUGAAGAGGUUCUGACCCAAGAACCACUAAGUACACCAGAACCAGUUGCAGUUGCAAGGCCACGGAGAGAAAUUCGUAAACCUGCUCGAUUUACUGAUAUGGUGGCCUACGCCCUUCCUGUUGUUGAUGAUAUUCCUAUCACUUAUCAAGAAGCAAUGCAAAGCUUAGAAAGUGAUAAAUGGAAAAGCGCCAUGGAUGAAGAAAUGCAGUCUCUCCUGAAGAACAAUACUUGGGAGUUGGCGCAAUUACCGAAAGGUAAAAGGGCAAUCGGAUGCAAGUGGGUAUUCGCAAAGAAAGAUGGAUCUCCUAGCAAGAAGGAUAUUCGCUACAAGGCAAGAUUGGUAGCUAAAGGCUACGCUCAGAAGGAGGGAAUUGACUACAAUGAUGUAUUUUCCCCUGUUGUGAAGCAUUCCUCCAUUAGAAUUUUGUUGGCCUUGGUAGCACAGUUGAAUUUGGAACUAGCUCAACUUGAUGUUAAGACGGCUUUCUUGCAUGGUGAUUUAGAAGAGAUCUAUAUGACUCAGCCCGAAGGAUACACAGAUGCUGGUGGUAGAAAUUGGGUUUGUAAGCUGAACAAAUCGCUAUAUGGAUUGAAGCAAUCCCUGAGGCAGUGGUACAAGCGAUUUGGUAGCUUUAUGAGAAGGCAAAAGUACACAAGAAGCAAAUAUGACAAUUGUGUGUAUUUGCAGAAGCUGCAUGACGGAUCUUUCAUUUAUCUACUAUUGUAUGUUGAUGAUAUGUUAAUCGCUUCGAAGAGCCAAAAAGAGAUAGAUAAGCUGAAGGCUCAGUUGAAUCAAGAGUUCGAGAUGAAAGAUCUAGGUGAGGCCAAGAAGAUUCUCGGCAUGGAGAUAAGUAGAGAUAGACAGAGAGGCAAGCUUUGUUUGAAUCAGAAGCAAUAUCUGAAAAAGGUAUUACAAUGUUUUGGUGUAAAUGAAAACACAAAACAUGUAAGUACCCCACUUGCUUCUCAUUUGAAACUUAAUGCUCAAUUAUCUCCGAAAACUGAAGAAGAAAGAGAAUAUAUGGUAAAAGUCCCAUAUGCUAAUACAGUUGGGAGUUUGAUGUAUGCGAUGGUGUGUACGCGGCCUGACAUUUCACAAGUUGUUGGAGUUGUGAGCAGGUAUAUGCAUGAUCCUGGAAAAGGACAUUGGCAAGCUGUGAAAUGGAUUCUACGGUAUCUUCGAAAAACCGUAGAUGUUGGUUUAAUUUUUGAACAGGAUGAAGCACUUGGUCAGUUUGUAGUUGGAUAUGUUGAUUCCGACUUUGCUGGUGAUUUAGAUAAACGUCGUUUAACUAUGGGGUAUCUGUUUACUCUUGCGAAAGCCCUAGUGAGUUGGAAGUCUACCUUACAGUCUACAGUAGCUGUGUCUACUACAGAGGCAGAAUAUAUGGCAGUUACAGAAGCUGUUAAGGAGGCUAUUUGGCUUAAUGGAUUGUUGAAAGACUUAGGAGUUGUUCAAAGUCACAUAAGUUUAUAUUGUGACAGUCAGAGCGCUAUUCAUUUAGCGAAAAAUCAAGUCUAUCAUUCAAGAACCAAGCAUAUCGACGUAAGAUAUCACUUUGUGCGGGAAGUCUUUGAAAAAGGAAAAAUUUUACUUCAGAAGAUUCCGACAGCAGAUAAUCCCGCAGAUAUGAUGACCAAGGUGGUAACAACAAUCAAGUUUAAUCAUUGUUUGAACUUGAUUAACAUCCUGAGAAUUUGAGCACCUUCAGGUGUAUGGCGCUCGAGAGCGUAUUUGGAGGCACUACAAAAGAUAACUUUAUCGAAUUUGGGGAGUUGAAGGAAGUGUGUGAAGAUGUGAUUAUCCUAAUCAAAUCUUCAAGGUGGAGAUUGUUGAAAAGUCAAAUUAAAAGGGGUGUUGAAAAGUCAAAAAAAUAGGAGGUGCAAGUGGCACCGAAAGAAAAAAUGGUAGGCAAGUUGUUUAAAGUUGAAUGGGAUAAUUGCAAUUUUGGUCCCUAAUUUUUUAGGCCAUUUGCAAGUUAGUCCCUGAACCUCAACUAUAAAUAGGCCUAACCAUUUCUCAUUUACACCAUCCCAACCAAUCUUUCUCUCUUAGUUUUCUUUCUUCUCCCAUUUGAGAAUUCUUAAGGAAUUCUAUUUGUUUGUAAUAUUUUGAAGAUAGUAAAGUUAUCAUCUGGUGUUAGUGCCCGAGGACGUAGGUAUAAUUUACCGAACCUCGUUAAAACUCUUGUGUUCUUUCUUGUCCUAUUUUUCUUUCAAUAUUUGAGGGUAUAAUAGUAGUAUUUAAUUGUGCUAUUAAAUUACUAUAGAAGGGAUAUUCUGACUAAGGAAAGACUUGGUAUUUAAGAGAUCCAUGUGAUCCACCUCUCUUCCCUGGGAAUUGAACUUUGUGUGAUUUUUUAGUACAAUAAUUUACACGCUUCCGACCCUAUUGGAACAACAGAUGAAACCCCAAUUUAAUUCCUGUGCCUAUCAAGAGCAUGAAUUUGUAGAAAUAUGUGUUAGUGAAACCAUAUGUUGAUUAUUCUUUUCUGUCGAUAUAUUUUCUAUAAUCAAUUUUGGAUUUAUUGAAACAUUAUUUUUGGAAGAUCUAGUUAACAAUAUGAAUUGUUUUGAACUUGAGUAUUUGACUAAUAUUGAUGAAUGGGCUUAAUUGAAGAUCUAGUUGAUUACUCCACUAUCUGAUUUAUGAGCUUCACAUUGAAUUAAUGACUCGACUGAGUAACCGAUGAUAGGUAUUUGGUUGUCAUCUGCUUUCGCAUCAAAAGGUUCAGUGUUUCCUAACAUGCUCUGUUAAUGUAGAUAUGAGAAAAGUUAAAGAUUAUUUAGGUUUGAUUAACAAAGCAAUUCAGAUGGGUGCAUGGUUGUCAUCUAUACUUGUGUUCUAAGAUAAUCGAUCUAAACUAGAAAAAAAAAAGAAGGAAAAAUUAUGGGUACUUAAUUGUUCAUUUUGCACAUUAUCUUCCAAUCUCAUGUUUAUGAUUAAUUUACAGAUAAAUCUCAAAACUAUACAUGAACUAUGGUUUAAUGUGUAAUUGUAUACAUAAACUUUGAGUUUAUGUAUUUUUAUAUAUGAAAUUUUGAUUUGGGUCGAUUCUUGUAAAUUAUUAACAUCAUUUUAUGUUAAUAUAUUGCAUACAUAAAAAAUUAUAUUUAUUCAAUAUAAAAAUAAAUUAAUUUACAAGUGUGAAUGAUUGAAUCAAAAGUUAAAGUUUGAAGUAUACAUUUGAACCACAAUUAGAGUUUCAAGUGUAUAAUUGUACCAAAUUAAAAUUCAUGUAUACAAUUGCACAUUAGAUCAAAAUUCAUAUAUAAAUUUGAGAUUUAUCCCAUUAAUUUAUGAUGAACUAAGAAUCAAGGUCCCACUUCCCUUGUUUUUCUAAGCAAUGUGGGAUAUAAAUUUUUAUAUAGACUCACACUCCCUUUGCUUUUUUUUUUUGUUCUUAGGCAAUCUGAGAUUUCUUACCCUUUUAACUAACAACAUAAGACUAAGUCUAGUGCCUGGAGAUAUUCUGAUAAAAAUACCAUGGAGGUCCUUUUACUAGGUUUCUAUAUUUUGUCUCUUCUACUAAAAAAAUGAACAAAUUUGUCCUUUUAUAUUAGAUCAAAUAGCAAAAUGGUCUUUUCGGUUUAAAAUUUCAUUAAUUUUUUUUACUCUUAAAAACUAGUCUGAUUGACAGAAUAAAUAAACAGUUUUUAUUAGAAGGACCAAUUUACUUUUUGAUCUAACAUAUAGGGACUAAAUUGUCAAUUAUUUGAGUAGAGGGGUCAAAAUGCAAUUCAGCUUAGUACAAGGGCUUCCAUGGUACUUUUACCAAAAUAUUCCUUUAGAAAAUUUGGGCUGCUUUAUUAUAAAUAGAUUCAUUGAGACAGAACAGUAAACUUAAUUGGUGCUGAUUGCUGUCUAUUAUGUUGGUCAAUGAUUGAUCUGUUUACAUAUUCUGGUUCGGACCCAUUUUUUUUUUUAUCUCAGGACGUUUGUGGAAAAGCAUUUGCUGGUAAGGAGCCUUCUUCUUUCUCUUGUUUCUGGUUUUCCAUUAUUGACCGCCUAUCUUUUGCUUUGUUCUUAUAAUUUUUUCUCCUAUUUUUAGGAAUAUAUUAAACCGACUUAGGAUAAGCUUCUUCCUUAUUUGCAUCCUUGAGAACAACAUGUUUUCACCCUUGUCUGAACGAGGCUUUACUUUAUACACGCUGGAAGGUAGGAAAUUGAUUUAAAAUUCUUUUCCGUUUCACCUUUAUGAAAUCUAAAUCCUUCCCUUUAUAAAAUUCCAGCAUCUAUGUCUUUGUUUUCCCUCAAGUAAACGUAGUCAAUACUGCAAAUGGUGUGGAAUUAUUGUACAUCGUGCCGCAAAUGUCCGAAAUUUCCACAUUGCUUGUAAAUUAAGUUUGGGUGAGAGUGACAGGAGAAAGCAACAGCAAGUAAAGUCAAUAGACAUUGAUAGUCUUAGAGCUUGUUUGGUUGGGUGUAUUGGCAUAGCCAUUACACCCCUAAUCAUGGGCCCCACUCAAUACAUUGUUUGGUUGGGUGUAUUAGCCUAAUACGGGUCUAUUACAUUACUGAUCUAAUCCCCAAAUUCCACCGAUUUCCAAUCCCUCCGUUGUGCUCAGUUUAGGUCCGGAUUGUGUUUUGGUCCCUGUUUUACCCCCCUGAUUCACGCUUCUGUCUUACCCCUGUUUCUUCCUUCUACCUUUCUUCUCCACUCUCCUCACCUUUUUGUCUUACCUUUCUAUCUCCACCGAUUCACACUUCUACCUUUCUAUCUUACCUCUCUUUGGCGUCACAACUGGACUUCGAACACCGAUCAGAAAGCAGCCCCCUUCUCACGUUUUCCGUUCCUCUCCAUCGGUGAAACUGUGUUCUGUCCAUUGGAACCGGUAAGGAAGAUACAACCUUAUUUUUUAUUUAAAAAUAUGUUUUCCCAAUGAUUAUUGGAUUAAAUUUCGUCCUUUUAAUAGUUUUGUUUCUUGGUUUGGAGAUUUAGAAAUUGGAUUAAAGGAAACAAUGGAACACAGGUUUUUCACUGAUAAUAGUGCUGCCACUUUUUCUUUAACUGAUGAGGAUCAUACCAUAGCUAACGCUGUUAGAUUCACUUUGAAUCAAGAGUCAGUUCACUCACAUAUGUUUUUAGCUUUGAUUCAUGCUGGGUUUUCUUUGUUUUAAGUGAUUGUAUUGAAAGUGGAAGCUAUCCUUUUUAUGUUGUGCAGCCCAACGGUUACAUUCUGUAGCUACAGUAUUCCUCAUCCUUCAGAGGCUCGAGUUAAUAUUAGAGUUCAAACCACUGGUAAACUCAAUAUAACACUCUUUUUCAAGUUAGAAGGAAAUGAAAUUAGAUCCUUAAAUAUUGUGUUUUCAAUGCUAAGGGCAGGCUUUUGUUGCUAAAUAAUUGUGGUAACACUGUUUGAUUCAGUUAGAAGUCAAAUGUCGUUUCCAUAUGUGAACAAUUUCUAGUUUUUAAGUAGCGACUUUGUUUCAUGUUGGCCUGGACAUUUUCCAGAUUAGUAAUUAUAAGUUUGAAUUUGGCUACUAAAUCACGCCAGUUAAUGAUUUCAGUGGGCUGGUGUUUCAGACUUUCUGUUGAAUUGACUUUGGUUUCGAAUAUUUUUAGUGAUGGAAAUAAGCACGAUUUAUUUGAAUUAUGAUUGAAUUGGAGAAGCUGCUUUUUGUACAUUUUGAGAAAUAUCAGGCCCUUGGAUACACAAAGGGUGUUAACUUGCGCCCAUCUCAAUUACCCCAUUCCUGCCCAUUGAAUUGGAGAAAGUUCUUUUUUUUAAUGAUUCUGUGUUGUUUUCUUCUUUAUGAAGAGCUCAUUUCAGUAAAGUUAACCUUUCUAUUAUGCAGGAGGUGCAGUAUUUGAUGCAUCACAAUAUGCAUUUUUUGGAAACGAUGUUCUCGAGGAAGUUGAAUUGGGGGGCUAGAUGAUGAGGAUGAGGAUUUACCUGCAGCUAGACUUGAUGAAGAGGAGUUUUUGUUUGAUCAAGAGGAGGUUAAUAUUCUUGUUUCUUUCAGUUUUUUUUCCUGUUUCGAUUGUUCUUGCAAGUUUCUGCAGCAUAGCACAACCAGUGACUAUUUGAUCGGAAAAUAAAUGUCUCCCUUCCAGGCGUCAUGCUAAAAAAUAGCCUUUUGGAUUAUUGUUGGAUUUUUUCUCCAUGUUCUUUAACAGAUAGAUUCCACUGCAUUCAAUUAGUGGUUGGCAUGCGAGUUUUAUUUGUAGAAUAAAGCUCUGUGGGAGUUCAUAUUAUAUAUUGUUCUAUUUGUCUGUGCAAAACAUUGUGAACCUUGUUCUCUGUAUUUAUAAGUUGACAAUGUAGCCAUCUUGGUUGGCUGCUUUCCGAAGUCAAUUUAUUUGAUUCGUUCUCUUUGCUCUUCACAAUGAGAGGUAGCUCUUUUGUACUUUUUUAAUAAGAUCAUAUUAUACAUGCUCUUUUGCAGUGGUCUAGUGGUUUAGUAUCUUGUUAAUAAAACCAUAUUGUAUAUUUGAAUAGUUUGGAGAUUGUGUUAACUGUAUUUGGUGCAUCUUGAAGUAAUGUUUGUUGUGUCUUAUAUGCUUCCUGAAUCAAAUAUGGAGAGAAGGUAGUAUAUGGAGUUUAUAUUUUCAAGUAUUUUUCACACAAUUGAUUUAUCUGUUCCCUUCAUUGAGGGGAAAACAUGGAAUGAAUUGACUUACACCUCACUUCUUCCUCAAACACCAUUGGUACCACUUAUUUUCAUAAAAUGAUAAGAAUCUUUUCAGAUUACAACUUCCAGAGGUCUAUGUCACCUUCUUGACAAUUAGGUUUUUAGGAAUCUUUUUACCUAUCAUGCAGAAGUUUUAGACAAAAUCUUGUUCGUGGUUGUUGCUAGAUGCAUGAUACUGCCUCAUUUCCUUUGUGGUGGUUCUUCGCUCUCCCCCUUCUUAGUAUUUUUGGUUGUUGAGUCUUGGAGGCAGUUGUAUUCAGUAAUGGCUGGCUUGCUUUAAUGCAUUGCUUCUGUAUAUCUUUGUAGAAAACGAAUCUGUAUCUAUUUUUAACACAAAUUUGAUUAGUUCAUGCCAAUGGAUUUGUAAAGUUAAAUUAGUUAUUGGCGUUAGAAAUUUACUCUUAUGCCUGGAAGGAGAUCUGGCUUAUAGAUCAACUACUGGAGUUAAUUAUGGAAAUUUGUUUGAUUUGGUUUCUUAUAAAAUUGUUACCCUGUUCUAUUUAUGUUGGAGUAGCUGAAAUCUGAUGUUGCAUUUGUCAUUAACAAAUAGCAAUCCAAAAAGAGAGGAAAGUGAUAUCAUCCCCUCCACUUUUUCCUUGGAAUUGCGUACUUCAAACUUUUUAAAUUGUAUAAAUUCAUAUAAGAAAAUUUGUUAUGAUGUUGUAAAACUAUAUAACAUAUGGAUUAUGAUGUAGAAUUUUAUUUUCAUCUAACCUUUUCUUAAUAUAAGUUAAUUAUGUUUAUGCAGAAUAUAAUUCUCAAGUUAUUUUUGAUUUUAGUAAAUUCAUAUAAGAACAUUUUAUUAUUAAAUUAUAUUUAAUAUUAAUUAUUUUAAAUUGUAUAAAUUCAUAUAAGAAAAUUUAUUAUCACGAAUUUUAUGAAAUAUAUAUUAUUAUUAAAUUAUAUUUAAUAAUAAUUAUUUUAAAUUAUACAAAUUCUAUAAGAAAAUUUAUUAGUUAUAAUUAUUUUAAAUUUUAUUAAAUCAUAUUUUAAUUAAAAUAUUUUAAUAUUAAUUACUUCAAAUUAUAUUUUAUAGUAUCAUAUAUUAUGAUUUUAGUAAAUUCAUAUAAGAAUGUUGAUUAUUAAGAAUUUUAUUAAAUUAUAUAUUUUAAUUAAAAUAUUUUAAUAUUAAUUAAUUCAAAUUAUAUUUUAUAGUAUCAUAUAUUAUGAUUUUAGUAAAUUCAUAUAAGAAUUUUGAUUAUUAAGAAUUUUAUUAAAUUAUAUAUUUUAAUUAAAAUAUAUUUAAUAAUAAUUAUGUUAAAUUAUCUUUUAUAGUAUCAUAUAUUAUGAUUUGAGUAAAUUCAUAUAAGAAUAUUAAUUUUUAAGAAUUUUACUAAAUUAUAUAUUUUAAUUAUAAUAUAUUUAAUAAUAAUUAUGUUAAAUUAUAUUUUAUAGUAUCAUAUAUUAUGAUUUGAGUAAAUUCAUAUAAGAUAUUGAUUAUUAAGAAUUUUAUUAAAUUAUAUAUUUUUAAUUAUAAUAUAUUUAAUAAUUAUUAUGUUUAAAUAUAAUUAAAUGCUCUAUUAUUGAUGUUAAUAAUCUUAUUAAAAUUUAAAUAACAAUAACAAUAAUCAUUACCCAAACAAAUUUAUGCUAAGGGUAUUCUAGUCAUUUUAGUUUUUUCCAUUAUGCUAUUACACCUCUAUCCAUUCAACCAAACAUAAUAUUACUAUUACGCCUCUAUUCCAUUACAUUCAACCAAACAGUUGAUUUGCUAUUACACCUCUAUUCCAUUACACCUCUAUUCCAUUACACCUCUAAUCCAAUACACCUCUAAUCCAAUACAGCGAACCAAACGUGCUCUUAGUCUUUUCUUGUGGAGUAAAGUAUAGUCAAUAGUCAAUAGUCAAUACUGCAAAAUUUUCAUAUAUGUGUUGAAUUCUGCAUAAUGUAACUUUGGUUGACACAGACAGCAAUAGGACCAAACUUUAUGUGUUAUAGUGAUCUUUUAAACUGAGUUAAUGAAAAAUAACCAUUUCCAUCAAAAUUAGUACAUAGCAGAGUUGAAUCAUGUAAUGAAUCUUUAAACCAUAAAAGAAAAAAAAGACUAUAACAGAGGUGUUGUGGUAUUAAUAAACAAAUCUUUGAGGGUUUUAGUUUUCAUGGUUUUCAAUUUUUUCUCUUCAUCUUCUAGGGUUUUAGUUUUUCUUGGUUUCAAUACUAGUUAGUUAAGUUAAUUAUCACUGUAGCUAGGGUUUAUUUGCUUGUUUAGUACCUUAAACUCUUUGUUUUUUCAGUUUAAUCCUUGGUUUUAAUAUAAAUCAAUUCCCUUAAUAAUUAAAAAUCUGAUUUUUAAGUGUUCUUUUACAUUUCCUUUGCUACCAUUGUAAUUGUUUUCAAGCUUUUCUCAUGUUUUCUAGUUAUGCCUAUUUUGUGUGAUUGCUGUGUUUUUGUUUGUUUAAAUAUGAUUAUGGGUAACUAAAUCUGAAGUGAAAUUCUGCAUUAUGACAAUCUCCAAACAUUGCUUGUGGGUUAAUUAAUUAAUCUAUGUGUAUGUCAAGUUAAUGUUUAUUAAUUCAAAUGAUUAAUAGCUAAUUUGGCCCUUGAACUAUAGUUCAAAAAUUAUUUUUAUAUUUUCAAAUUUUCAUAAAAAUAAUUGCAACAAAAUUUAAAAAUAUUAAAAUAAAUAAAAAAUUUAUAUAAAUUGCAAAUCAAUUGGUGCAAGAAAAAAAAAUUUCCAACUACUUUUCCACAUCCAAUCUGAUAAAUAGUCGGUCUUUGAACUUCAACAAAAAAAUAUUAAAUACCCAUUCACUUUGAUCCUACUCGUUUUUCAUUUGCUUUAUUGAUUUAUGCUCUCUUCAUAUUCAUCUUUCUUUGUCUUUUUUUUUUCUCUUUUUUCAUGUAGAUCGGUGUCGACUCUACUCUUCUUAGAUCAUGAAAAAUAAUAUAUAUAUGUUUUAUUUAUAGCCGAAAGUAAAACCUUGAGUUAAAUUUGACAGAAAAAUUUGUUGGUUUGGAGAAGAAGAAGAGCACUUUGUAUUUAAAUUUAAAAACUCUAAAAUUUUAAAAAUGAAAAGUACUUAAAACCCUAAACAAUCUAAUAAUUGGAGUUAUAGAAAAGAAAUAUGGGUUUAGAAAUAAAUAAAACAAAUUAAAUUUGCAAAACAAUUUCUAGGCAAAACAACAUGAAGUUGUUAAUGUGAUUAAAGGUGUUCAUCAAUGGUGGAAAAUAAAUGGAAUUUAACUUGAAAAUUUUAAGACUUUUUAAAAAAGAAAAAUUUGCAAGAAGUGUUAGUUUAAAAAAUUUUAGUUUUAAAUUUAAGAAUUUUUUAGAUUUAUACAUAUUUAAUUCUUUUUCAUAUUUUUUAGAUUUAAAUGAAGUUGACCUAAUAAUGCACAUGUAUGCACAUCGGUAAAGUUAAAAUAUAUUAAUUUUUUUAUCCAUUUUGAGGUUAUUUGAUAAAUAAUAUAGGUUUAAGGGUUAAAAAAGAUAAAAAAUUAAACUAAGGACUAAAAUAACUUUUUUUUUUUGUAAAAUUAAGAGGACCAAAUAAGUCAUUAUGCCUUUAGUUUUUUUAUAAAGUGAAUUGAGUUUUUGGGAAAAUGAAGAAAGAGUGAAUUGAGAAUGCGCAAUUCCUCGUUUGUAUGAUGAAGAAUUUUUUUUUUUUUAUAAAAAAAAAAUUGUCUAAACUAACAUAUCAAGCAUCCAAUGUAAAAGCGUAGAAAAUAACUAAAAUGUUACGUUUAAAUUGUUGUUAAUUUUUGUGGAAUUAUUCGAUAUUCUUCUGCAAUUGUUUGACAUUUCCUCAUUUCUUUACAUAUUAUAAAGAAGAAGACUAAGUCAAUUUAAUUUAUAAUAUCAUGAAUGUUAAUCUUUUUAAUUGUUUAGGGAGUUCACAUGAAAUACAAAAUUGUGGUAAAAAAAAGUAUACAAUUUUGUGAAUGAAAAAUAUAUGGUAAAAGGGAAGUGGUUGUUGAUGACUAUAAAAACUAUAGGUUUAAUAAACACUGUAACAGUGGUGUUGUGGUAUUAAUAAACAAAUCUUUUGUUUAAUAUUGGAUAUUAUUUGUUUCACUUUUCAACUGCCUAUAAAUACCAUUCUCACCAUUCCUAUCCCUCAUCUUACUCUCCAAACAUUACAUGGCCUCCUAUCUCUUUCUCUGCCUAUUUCUCUUCUUUCCCCCCCUUUAUGCUUCUUCUUCUUCUUCUUCUUCUUCUUCUUCAGGAUCUCACUCAUGCUUUCACCAUGAAGCUGCCUCUCUAAUCCAGUUCAAGAAUUCCUUUUCCAUCACUCAGACAGGGGAUGCUGCUUUGUAUUGCGAUCACUUUGCUGGCCUUAAAUCUUAUCCCAAGACAAAUUCAUGGAAGGAGGGUACAGAUUGCUGCUCAUGGGAUGGGGUCACUUGUCAUCACCUAAAUGCUCGUGUUAUUGCCCUUGACUUGAGCUGCAGUUGGCUAUAUGGUAACUUCCCUUCCAAUACCACUCUCUUCCUUCUUCCUCACCUUCAAAAACUCAACCUUGCUUACAAUGAUUUCAAUGAUUCCAAAAUUCCAUCUGAAUUUGGUCAGUUUACAAGCCUAUUCUACCUCAACCUUUCCAGUACAGGGUUUGUAGGAGAAGUCCCUUCCCAAGUCUCCCACCUGUCAAAAUUGGUUUCACUUGAUCUCUCGUGGAAUAUUCCCCAAAGAAUUGACAAACAUGCUGUGGAGGGACUUGUUCACAACCUAACCGAGGUUAGACAUCUGUUUUUGGAUGGAAUCAACAUGUCUUCUACUAAUCCUCUUGUCUUCAUGAAUCUAUCCUCUUCUCUAAGGUCUCUCAGUCUUGCUCCUUGUCAUUUGCAAGGAAAAUUCCCAAAAAACAUUUUUGAUUUGCCAAACCUCAAUUUCCUCAACUUGGGGCGCAACGAAAACCUCAAUCUUGAUCUUUUGAAGUUCAAUCGGAGUAGCAAUCUUGAACAUUUGGAUCUGUCGUCCAUGUCCUUCUCUGCAGGAUUGAUUGAUUCAGUUGAUAAUCUACAGGCCUUAAAGUACUUAGAUCUAUCAGGAAAUUCUUUCUUUCAAGUAUUUUCUGUCUCAAUCACAAAUUUAUCAUCUUUGGAGUACUUGAUUAUUAGGGAGGCAAAUUUAUUUACAGGAUUGCCUGACUCGACGGGGAAUCUUGUGUUCUUGAAGUUUUUAGAUAUCUCUUAUUCCAACUUGUCAGGAUUGAUUCCAAGAUCACUGGGAAACCUCUUGCAACUCACUGAUUUAGACUUGUCGAUCAACCAAUUGAGUGGACAAAUUCCAAGAUCAUUGGGGAACCUCUUGCAACUCACUGAUUUAAACUUGCAUGGGAACCAAUUGAGUGGACAAAUUCCAUUAUCAAUUCUAAACCUAACGCAGCUUGAAUACUUGGAAAUAGCUGAAAAUUCAUUAGAAGGUUCCAUUCCAGAUGAGGAAACCGCUUUUCCUAAUCUAAUAUCUUUAGACUUAUCUGACAAUUUACUAAAUGGAAGCCUUCCGUCAUGGUGGUAUACUGCUCCCUCCUUAAAGCACAUAUGUCUCUCACAAAAUCAUGUCAGUGGGCAUAUCAAAGAAUUCCAAUCCAAAUCACUAGAAUGGACAUGGUUAGAGAAUAAUAAACUCCAAGGUCCUCUUCCAUCUUCAAUAUUCCAACUUCUCAAUCUUACCUGGCUCAUCUUAUCCUCAAAUAAUCUUAAUGGUUUCUUAGAGUUUAGCAUGUUCUCAAACCUUGCAAAUCUCGAACAUCUUGAACUUUCAUAUAACAGCCUAUCUUUAACAUCUUAUACUACUUCUAGUGUUAACCAUAUAUUGCCUAAUCUUACAGACUUACUUUUGUCAUCUUGCAAUCUUAGUGAAUUCCCCCGAUUUUUAAAAGGGCAUAAAAGUCUGGUAAAUUUAGACCUCUCUUACAACAGAAUUGAAGGCAAGAUUCCACAGUGGAUGCAAGAGGUGGGCAAUGACUCUUUGUGGUAUUUAAAUUUAUCUCAUAACUCUUUGACAGAAGUUGAGCACUUUCCAUGGAAGAAUAUUGCAUUUCUUGACUUAAGCUCCAAUUUGAUCCGUGGAAAUCUUCCGAUUCCAGCUUCGACGAUCAGAAUCUUUUUGAUCUCAAAUAAUAGUUUCAAUGGAGAGGUCUCUUUUUCAAUAUGCAAUGCCAGUUCUCUUCAAAUUCUUGAUUUCUCCCACAAUAACUUGAGUGGAACAAUUCCGCAAUGUUUUGGAAAUUUGAGCAACAACCUUGAAUUCUUGAAUCUGAAGAAGAACAAGUUUUAUGGGACGAUUCCUCCAACAUUUGCACAGGGAUGCCAAUUGAGUAAUUUCAACUUAAAUGGAAAUCUGUUAGAAGGGCCUUUGACACCAUCCAUCCUUAAUUGUAAAGGUCUGGAAGUGCUAGAUCUUGGUAACAACAAGAUCAAUGAUACAUUUCCUCAUUGGUUGGGAAGUCUUCCACAACUAAAAGUUGUUGUAUUGAAGUCAAAUCAUAUGCGUGGUUCCUUGUGUGUCAAUAGCUCCAAGUCUAGCCCUUUUUUCUCUAAAAUCCAAAUUUUUGAUCUCUCAAGUAAUUAUUUUUCUGGACCCCUACCAGUGAGAUACAUCAACAGCUUCAAGGUUAUCAUAAAUCUAGAAAAGAUUGGUAGUACAGUGUCGUACAUGGGGGUGUAUGGCAAUAGUGCCUUCUAUACCUAUUCCAUUGGAAUUGUUAUGAAAGGACAAUAUACGGAAUUGGUGAAAAUUUUCACCAUGUGGAUGAUCAUUGAUGUAUCAAACAAUCAGUUUGAAGGGGAGAUUCCAAAGGUUAUUGGGAAGCUUAAUUUACUGAAAGGGCUCAACCUUUCUCAUAAUAACCUUAAUGGCGGUAUCCCCACCUCAAUAGGGGAUUUGACAAAUCUUGAAUGGUUGGACUUAUCUUCAAACAGGUUGUCUGGGACGAUUCCAAAAAGAUUGGCAGAUCUGCCAUUUCUUUCGUCCUUGAAUGUUUCUGAUAAUCAACUCCAUGGUCAGAUUCCUCAAGGCAAACAAUUCAACACAUUUGGAAAUGAUUCAUAUGAAGAAAAUAAGGGACUAUGUGGGUUUCCGGUCUUGAAAGGUUGCAACAUCAUUGAGCCAGCACCUCCAAAUGUGCUUGAAAAAGAUGGCUCAAAAUCAAACAUUGCUUUUGGUUGGAAAGUGCUUUUGAUAGGUUAUGGAUGCGGAGUAGUGUUCGGAAUGGCCGUGGGGUAUGUCGUUUUCCAAAUUGGUAAGCCGAAAUGGUUGGUGAACUUGGUUGAAAACCAACAUGAGAAGAGGCGAAGAAGAAAGUCAACGAAUGGCAAUCGCGAAAAUGGACGAAGAAGGAUCUAGUUGGUGGAAAUGAUGUUCAAGCGUUUAUGUUUUAUCUUCAUAAUUUCUUGUUUUGAAGUCUGUCGAAAUGUUUUUUUUUCCUAUGGUGAUGGGUUGCAUUCGCAUGCAUCUGUCUUUAUUAUUGUAACAAUUCAUCAGUAUUUUAUUGCAUUACGUAGGGGUUUAUUCUGAAUAUUUUAACAUUUUGUAUGGUGCAACGAUUUAUGUCUUCUUUCAUGAAUUACAAUUUUUAGUCUCAAUAAUCUCUGCUUUCAAGAUUCUGCAGUAAAAGCUUAGUUUCACGGACAUAGUAAUAUAAUGAAUUCAAACAUCAAUUGUCCUUAUUUCCUUUAGUUAGCUUAUUAAUUGGUGGAUCAAAUUUCUAGCAGUCUUCUUGCUCAACUCAUCAUCUUUGUCUCGAGUUAAACAUAGUCAAAACUAUAAAAUUUUCUUUUUGCGUGGAAAAUUAUUUGGCAUUCUGCAAAUUUCCACAAUGCUUGUUGAUUACCUCUGGUUGACAGCUAUACAUGUAUAGGAAGUAAGGAAGGAAGUCCAAGUCAAUAGGCACUGACAUUCUUAGUCUUCCACCCUUUGGGACCAAAUAUGAUGUGUUAUAGGAAACAAGAUCAUGUCCAGAGACAGUGACAAGUUUGUUUGAUGGAAGUAGCUCUUUUCACACUGCAGACUUGACCUUCAACACGUGAAUGUAAAAUUGGGUACUCGUACAUAUGUUCGAUUAUGCUUUAAACACAAAUAUCAAAUGCUUCAAAGACAAUGAAGAAACCAAUAAUAGAUAACAUGGUCGACGAUAUGAAGUUGAGGUACAAAAAUAAAGAUUAAGUGGUUUUACAAUGCCAAAAUAUUGCAACAACAAUGAGAUUAUAUAUUAUUGUAUAUAAUAGUGAUCGGUCUGGAACUUGAAUAUAUGCAGGUGGUACCGCAGGAGCACAUCUUAACAUAAGGCUAUGAUUGUUCCAUAAUUUUUAGUUUCAAAUUUUUGUACUCAUUAAUCUUUCCUAUUGUUUUGUAAGGUGUUGGUUGUUUAAUUAAAUUUCAUUUUUUUUUCGUUAACACACUUGGUCAAAUAUGCAAAAUCCACACAUAAAUGUUUAUACAAAUUUCCAUGGAACCAUCAAGACAAUCGCAAAAAUCAAAUUUGGGAAUUAAAAUUCUAACUUUAAUAUACCUGAACAUAUGGGAUACCCAAAAAAUUGCAAGCACAAGACCGAGAUAGUAUAUAGUUUCUGUGAUAUGCAUCCUUUGGCCCUUCAGUUGGGUACCCAGGCGGCGGCGUUGCAUCCUUUGGCCCCUCAGCGCACUCUCAACCUCACAAAUAGCCUCCCUAGGUUGUGCUGGAGAUCGAAGUUUUGAGCACCCAAUGAUCAAUCUUUAAUUUUUUGGCUUUGAAGAGAUUUUCUUGGAAAUAAAAAAAGAUUUGAGACGAGGAGAAAGAGAGAAGUGUUUUGGUGGUAGCUUAUAUUUGUCAUUAUGCACAUUGUUACCAAAAAAGUGAAUUGGUCCGAUUCGAUGAAUGAAAAUUAAAACGCAAACCACGGUUGAAAUUACGAUGAUAAGAAAGAAAGAAUUGCAGAGAACAAACAAAAGAUUUUUGCAACGAAACUGUCUGCAAAGGUUUUAUUUAUGUCACCAUAUUUUUUAAUAUAGUAAUAGGGGUUCUUAUAACAACAAAAAACUUCUAACUAUGGAGAGAAAUAAUUAACAAAGUUUUUAUGCUAAUAGAUAAUAAAUAUAUUAUGUUAAUAAAUUCUAAAUCUUCUAAUAAAUUCUAAAUUUGCAGGCAAGCUGUUAAAAUCCAGUUGCUUCUCAACUACAUGGUUAAUCUUUAAAGAGCUCGCAUCUAUUCUUGCGAUCCUAGUUUGUAUUUGUCUUGCAACCCCAAUUCGUUAAAGUAAUGAGCUCGCCACUUUGUGGUAGCCAAUCUGGAGGAGUUCGCCAGCCAUACAUACGGCAUGAACGAUCAUCUCCCAACAAUCACUAUUUAAAAAUAUGCACAGAAAUUGAAAUUCCAUGGAAGCAAUACCAAGUGGAUUGUUUGUUGUUGAGGUAAAUUAAACACACACAAUUUGUAAGCAUUUUAGUGUCAUAUGGAACUUAAUUUUUAUUUUUUAUUUUACCUACCGUCCCAAACUAAUUAAUCGAUCUUGUGAAAUUGUGUACUCCUACAUAUAUGUUUAAUGCAUCAAUGUGAAAUUUUCUCACCUAAUGAUCGUUUUCUCGAGUAAAUGUAAAUAGUCAAUACUGCAAAAUUUUCAUAUUAUUUGUGUGGAAUUCUGCAUGAUUGCUUGUGGAUUCUUAGGUUGGAACUAACAGUAAGAGGAAGCAAGUGCAGUUGAAGUCAAUAGACGCUAGCAGUCUUGGACCAAACUUUCAAAGUAAUUAUUUUACUGGACCACUAGCAGUGAGAUGCAUCAACAAUUUUAGGGUUAUCAUAAAUCUCUACAAUUGGGAUUGUUAUUAAAGGACAAGAUAGGGAAUUCAUGAAAAUUUUCACCAUGUGGACCAUCAUUGAUCUCUCAAAUAAUAAGUUUGAAAGAUAGAUUCCGAAGGUUAUUGGAAUUUUCACCAUGUUCAAGCAUUUCUAUUGUAUUUUCACAUAUAUAUUAAAAGAAAGAAGCUGCAAAAGCAUGUCAUUUAAGACUGCUUGUAGAAGAAAGCAACAGCUCAAUCCUGUGAGACUCCUAACCAAGCUUGAAUAAGCUGAAGGAGGAGUUUCAGGGAAAGUAUGUGAGCUUUCCAAUGUAAUCUGCAAGCUCAGCAAGAUGUCAAAGCUGCGAGCUUAGCGAGAAGUGCGAGUUAUGAGCUCAGCAAGUGGUGCGAGCUCAUCAAAAGGUGUGAGCCUGUUGAAGACACCUGUUGAAGACAAUAUGCAAAGAUGCGAAUCUGUCAAAGGUCUGAGCUCAGCAACAUGUGGAAGCUUAAUGUGAGUUGUAAAGUUGCAAGCUUGUUGAAGACAAUAAGCAAAGUGCGAACCUGUCAAAGUGUGAGCCCGUCGAAUUGCAAGCCAAAGUGGUGGACAGUCUAAAUGCAAACCUAAAUGGGUGCAAACCGAAGUGUCGAACGGUCUAAAUGCAACCUCGAGUAGGUGCAAGCCAAAAUGACAGACUGAAAGUAAGCAAACUAUACUCGCAAAUUGUAUAUGCAAGAAGAAACAGGAUUGUAAUUAAUAAGGGAACAAGGCAAGAUGUGUUGUCAACUAAGGCUAUGAAGGAGGAGAAUACUCUAUUUGAUGAACAAAUCUUUGGCACAAAAGACUGGUAUGGUCAAUUGUGUGAGUCAGAUUUGGUUGAAAAUGAUGCCAAGGUUGAAAAUGUAUUGCUAGAGCAGGUUUUGCUUGAAAAAAAGCAUCUUUUGAUUGCCAAGCUUAAAAAACUUGAUGAAUGUUUGGUAUUUGCAGUAUGGAGUCUAAGGAGGAGUGUUGAAAAUUGGCCAACUAUAUUGAUCGAUAUUUUUGGAUGAAGUGCAUGCAGCUUGUAAACAUGUUGCAGCACGUAUGCUUGCUGUAACAAUAAUGUUUUCUCUUUAGUUUCAUUGCAAUCAAACUAGUUGAAAAUGAACAAGCUGAUAACAGCUUGAUAUGUUUAGGUGUUGAAUGACUAGUUUAGGUGACUUGUUUAUGUGUACAAGCAAUGUUUAUCAAGUUACAAGGCUACUUAGUGGUAGUAAGUAGUAUUUGGUGAUGUAUUUGACUAUAAAAUGUAUUGAUUUUCUAGUUGAAUGAAUGAGAAAAAAUGAGCUAAAAGCCAUAAGCUCCCUUACAGCCUUGUCUUGUGUCCUGUAUUUCUUCCUCUGCUCCUACCAAAUCCCCAACAAUUUUGCCUUUAUGGGACCACAGUACCGUAAGCAUCGACAUCUAAGAAAAAGAAUGAUGGCAUGGAUUUUGGAUGCUGUACUUUACCAUCUGUUUUUUCCAACUGUAAUGUCCACUGACAUAUUUUCCUGCUGUUUAGGUUCAAUCUUAUAUCUUCAUCAUCUCUAAAGGAGAGAAUCACUAUCUUGCUUACUUGGAGGACAUGUACGAAGACAAGCACGGGCAGAUCUGGUGGUGAAGGUUAUUAAUUAUUCUCAUUCAGUUGCCUUAUGUUUCUUCAGAGUUUAAAAUUUAGGCCACUAAUUCAAAUUUUGUUUAUUGAACUGAAUUAAUUUAUACGCACUAGAGGAAAAUAUGUUUCUUAGAUACUAUUAUUCAGCAUAUAUAGGCCACACUGGUUUGAAUUUUUAAGGUGCUGUUUACUCUAAAACCUAUUAAUUUAUACAGACUUAGAGACUAUUUUUUUUAAUUGUAUGAUCUAGACAUGAGAUAUGAUUUUUCUUGUAUUAAUAUAGAAAGAAAGGAUAUAUAACUAUAAAGCACCAAUUUCAUCAGUUUUGUUUUUUUUCUAACAAUGAUUUAUAAUACUAAUUCGAGUAACAUAUAAUUCGAGAAUGAGAAUAUAGAAAUUAUUAGUUGAAAUGGAAAAUAAAGUGUUGAUAUUUUACAGAUUAGAGUUGAGUAUAACUAAUUGGUGUUGAAGUUGGGGUUAUGCAAUUGUUGGAAUUCAGAUGUGUAUUUUUUUGGGUAUCUGGGUCUUUCUCGCGUUUUGUUGGUUGGCUAUGGCCUUCUUGUUGCUUCCACUGUCUGUGGUCUUUGUUUCUAAGUCAUAUGUGACCUUGUUUGCUAGAACGUAUGUUGUCUCGUUGUUUCUAAGCUUUUAAUAUUAGAAAUGGAUGAAAUUUUUAACAGAAAUGACUAGUUUGUAUUUUGAUUUAACGUACAAGAACUACUUUGCAUAUUUUUCAGUAAAGGGGAUAAAAUGCAAUUUAAUUCUUAGUACAGGGGCCUCUACGAUACUUUUAUAGCUAUUCCAUUGAAAUUGUUAUGAAAGGACACUAUAUGGAAUUGGGGAAAAUAUAUAUUCGCCAUGUGGAUGUCAUUGAUUUAUCAAACAUUCAAUUUGAAGGGGAGGUUACAAAGGUUAUUGUGAAGUUUAACUUACUAAUUAAGGGCUCAAUCUUUAUCAUAAUAACCUUAAUGGUGGUAUCCCCACUUCAAUAGGGAAUUUGACAAGUCUUGAACGGUUGGACCUAUCUUCAAAUAGGUUGGUUGGGACGAUUCCAAAUAGAUUGAUAGAUCUGGCAUUUCUUUCGUCCUUAAAUGUUUCUGAAAAUCAACUCCAUAGUCAGAUUCCUCAAGGCAAGUAGUUCAACACAUUUAUGUAAUAAAUUAAUAUAACCCACACAUGCUUUGAAUUUUUAAGCAAUAAACUAAAGCACCAUGUUUCUUAGAUACUAUUAUUCUCUACGAUGUUAUAAUUAUAAUUGCAAUCAAUAUAUCUGUAUAACAAUAAUGAAUGUUUAAUUUUUUGAAGUAUCCGAAUGAAACCCUUUUUCAUUUUUAUUAAAAAAAAUACUAAGAAAAUAUCCAUUCAAUUGUUCAAUUUCAAUAAUAUACAAAUUAUAUAUAUUAUUAUCAAUUUACCUUCAAAUUUUGAAUAAUAACUUAUUUGGCCAUCUAACUUUAUAAAAAAGUCAUUUUAAUUCUUCAUUUAAUUUUUACCUCGUUUAGUCCUUAAACUUGCGCUAUUUGUCAAAUCACCCUAAAAUAGAUGAAAACUUUAAUGAUGUGGCAUAUCGUGGAUUACCACAUAAAUGCCACGUCAGCAAAUAAAUAAUUUUUUAAAAUUUAAAAUUUUCAAAAAUUACAAAAAAUUAUUAAAAAUAAAAAAUAAAAGUAUAAAAAUAUUUUUAUUUUUUAAAAAUUUAAUUAAUGGCUGACAUAACACACACAUGGAUUGUCACGUGAAUACAUGAAUAUCACGUCAGCAAUGUUAACAGACAUUAAUUGUUCCAUUAACAGACAUUCUUUAAGUAUUAUAGGGAAGAAAACUAAGUCAACUCACUUUGUAAUCUCAUGAAUGUUAAUUAUUUUAGUUGUUUAGGGAGUUCAAAUAAAAUACAAAAUUUUAGUAAAUACACUGAUGCAUAGGAAGCAAUACCAAGUCAAUAGACACUGACAUUCUUAGUCUUCCACCUUUGGGACGUAACUUGACCAAAAAAAUUGGAAUUUCAGGUUUAAAAUUGCUAAAUAUUAGAAGUUGGAAUUUAUCAAAAUUAGUAACAUUGAUGGUACAAAAGAGUUAGAAUUAUGUGUCUUGCCUUUUCUCACCACGUAUAUUGUGGUGUAAAUGUGGGAAUAUUUGGCAUGGUUUGCUGAUUAAGUUUGGCUGACCAUGAUAGGGUUUCAUUGACGUGAUAUUGGGGGAGCAGUUGAGGUACGAUUGGUGGAUCCCAUCUCCCUAUUUUCCUAUGAGUAGGGUUUAUGGGUGAUGCAAUUGGGGGUGUUGUAUCUCUACUUUUUUCCACUAACCAUAGUCAAAAUAAAAUAGGUUAGUAGUUACAAAAAUAGAGAAAUGGUCCUUCCACAAAAUACAAUAAUAAAAUGCAAAUCUAUUGAAUCAUAUCAAACACUAAAUAUUUAAAGGAUUACGGAAAAUACAAAAACAUCAAUUAUGUGUAGAAGAAUAAAACCAAUAAUUUAUUUUCUAAGCCAUUGAUUUCAAUGAUGUGGACUCCAUCUUUCCAUUACAAAAAUUAAAUUGAUUGUGCUAAAAACCAUAUAGAAGUUGACAGAAAAAUCAUCAAAAUUACAAGUGCAGUACAUAGAUUAAUCACAAUACAAAAUAGUUGCAUAUGAACCCUAAUUUGAUGAGACGCCAAUUAACUAUUAACGCAAAUUUAAGAGUAAAAAGAGACAAAAAAAAUUAAAUAGGAAUUAAAAUAAUUCUUUAAAUAAAAUUGGAAGGCCAAAUAUAUCAUUAUACAAACUUUUUUCUAAAAAAAUUCAUGUGAAGAAGAAAAUGCAGUUUCCCAGAUAAUUUUCUUGCAAUUAAUAGAAAAUGACAUAUUUAAUGCCAACCAAUGAAAUAUUUGGAGUUUUGUUGAAAAUAUGCUUCUUAGAUACAAUUACUCAACAUACAUAUGCCACAGUUAUGCAAUAAAAUAAAUUAAUAAAAGCCACACAUGCUUUGAAUUUUUAAGCAGUAAAUGAAAUAUGCUUCUUGAAUACAAUUAUUCAACACACAUGCCUUGAAUUUUAUGAAAUAAAAUAAAUUAAUAUAGGCCACACAUGCUUUGAAUUUUUAAUUCUACAUUGGUUAGCGUUGGUUGACAGCCAUACAUACCAAGUCAAUCGACACUCACAUUCUUUUAAGUAUUAUAGGGAAGAAGACUAAGUUAAUUUAUUUUGUAAUAUUAUGAAUGUUAAUUAUUUUAGUUGUUUAGAGAGUUCGAAUGAAAUACAAAAUUUUGGUUAAAAAGAGUACCCAAUUUUGUGAAUGAAAAAUAUAUGGUAAAAAUGAAGUAGUUGUUGUCUUGUUGAUGACUAUGAAAAAUAUAAGUUUUCAAUAUCAGCAAUUCAAACUCUUCCAAUAAAAAUCUUUAUACCAUAAAAGAAAAAACACUGUAAUAGUAAUGUUGUGGUGUUAAUAAAUACCAUUCUCACCAUUCCUAUCCUUCAUCUUACUCUACAAACAUAACAUGGCCUCCUUACUCUUUCUUUGCCUAUUCCUCUUCUUUCCCCAUCUUUAUGCUUCUUCUUCAGGAUCUCACUCCUGCUCUUCACUAAUCCAAUUCAAGAACUCUUUUUCCAUCACUAAGACACCGCUUGCUGCUUGGUAUUGCGAUGAGAUUGCAGGCCUUAAAUCUUAUCCCAAGACAAAUUCAUGGAAGGAGGGUACAGAUUGCUGCUCAUGGGAUGGGGUCACUUGUGACCACCUAAAUGCUCAUGUUAUUGCCCUCGACUUGAGCUGCAGUUGGCUAUAUGGUAACUUCCCUUCCAAUACCACUCUCGUCCUUCUUCCUCACCUUCAAAAACUCAACCUUGCUUACAAUGAUUUCAAUGAUUCCAAAAUUCCAUUUGAAUUUGGUCAGUUUACAAGCCUAUACUACCUCAACCUUUCCAGUGCAGGAUUUGUAGAAGUCCCAUCCCAAGUCUCCCACCUGUCAAAAUUGGUUUCACUUGAUCUCUCUUUCAAUUUUUUCCAACCAAUUGAUAAACAUGCUGUGGAGGGACUUGUUCACAACCUAACCGAGAUCAGACAUCUGUUUUUGGAUGGAAUCAAUAUGUCUUCUAUUAAUCCUCAUGUCUUCAUGAAUCUAUCCUCUUCUCUAAGGUCUCUCAGUCUUGCUGGUUGUGAUUUGCAAGGAAAAUUCCCAAAAAACAUUUUUGAUUUGCCAAACCUCAAUUUCCUCAACUUGGGAGGCAACCAAAACCUCAAUCUUGAUCUUUUGAAGUUCAAUCGGAGUAGCAAUCUUGAACAUUUGGAUCUGUCGUCCAUGUCCUUCUCUGCAGGAUUGAUUGAUUCAGUUGAUAAUCUAAAGGCCUUAAAGUACUUAGAUCUAUCAGGAAAUUCUUUCUUUCAGGGAUUGUCUGUCUCAAUCACAAAUUUAUCAUCUUUGGAGUACUUGAUUAUUAGAGGCGCAAAUUUAUUUGCAGGAUUGCCUGACUCAAUAGGGAAUCUUGUGUCCUUAAAGUUUUUAGAUUUUGUCCAUUCUGACUUAUCAGGAUCGGUUCCAAGAUCAUUGGGAAAUCUCUUUCAACUCACUCAUUUAGACUUUUCGAUGAACCAAUUGAGUGGACAAAUUCCAAGAUCAUUUGGGAACCUCUUGCAACUCACUCAUUUAGACUUGUCAUGGAACCAAUUGAGUGGACAAAUUCCAAGAUCACUGGGAAACCUCUUGCAACUCACUCAUUUAGACCUGUCAGGCAACCAAUUGAGUGGACAAAUUCCAUUGUCAAUUCUAAACCUAACGCAGCUUGAAUACUUGAGAAUAACUCAAAAUUUAUUAGAAGGUUCCAUUCCGGAUGAGGUAACAGCUUUUCCUAAUCUAAUAUCUUUAAUGUUAAUUGACAAUUUACUCAAUGGAACACUUCCGUCAUGGUUGUAUACUGCUCCCUCCUUAAAGGAAAUAUAUCUCUCUGAAAAUCAAUUCAGUGGCCAUAUCAAAGAAUUCCAAUCCAAAUCACUAGAAUUGAUAGCGUUAGGGAAUAAUAAACUCCAAGGUCCUCUUCCAUCUUCAAUAUUCCAACUUCUCAAUCUUACUCAGCUCAGCUUAUCCUCAAAUAAUCUUAGUGGUGUCAUAGAGUUUAGCAUGUUCUCAAACCUUCCAAAUCUCAAACAUCUCGACCUUUCAUAUAUCAGCCUAUCCUUAACAUCUAAUACUACCUCUAGUGUUAACCAUAUAUUGCCUAAUCUUACAGACUUACUUUUGUCAUCUUGCAAUCUUAGUGAAUUCCCCCGAUUUUUAAAAGGGCUUAAAAGUUUGGUAAGGUUAGACAUUUCUUGCAACAAAAUUGAAGGCAAGAUUCCGCAAUGGAUGCAAAAGGUGGGGAAUGACUCUUUGUGGUAUUUAAAUGUAUCUCAUAACUCUUUGACAGAAGUUGGGCACUUUCCAUGGAAGAAUAUUGAAGUUCUUGACUUAAGCUCCAAUUUGAUCCGUGGAAAUCUUCCGAUUCCAGCUUCGACAAUCAAAGUCUUUCUGAUCUCAAAUAAUAGUUUCAAUGGAGAGGUCUCUUCUUUAAUAUGCAAUGCCAGUUCUCUUCGAAUUGUUGAUUUGUCUCACAAUAACUUGAGUGGAACAAUUCCGCAGUGUUUUGGAAAUUUGAGCAACACCCUUGAAUUCUUGAAUCUGAAGAAGAACAAGUUCUAUGGGACGAUUCCUCCAACAUUUGCAAAGGGAUGCCAAUUGAGUAAUUUCAACUUAAACGGAAAUCUGUUAGAAGGGCCUUUGACACUAUCCAUCCUUAACUGUAGGGGUCUAGAAGUGCUAGAUCUUGGUAACAACAAGAUCAAUAAUACAUUUCCUCAUUGGUUGGGAAGUCUUCCACAGCUACAAAUUCUUGUACUAAAGUCAAAUCAAAUGCAUGGUUCCUUGUGUGUCAAUAGCUCAAGGUCUAGCCCUUUUUUCCCUAAAAUCCAAAUUUUUGACCUUUCAAGUAAUUAUUUUUCUGGACCGCUACCUGCGAGAUACAUCGACAGCUUCAAGGCUAUCAUAAAUCUCACGAAAGAUGCAAGUACGAUGACAUACAUGGGUGUGCAGGAUGCUAAUGCUAGUAUUGGCAUUUAUAGCUAUUCCGUUGGAAUUGUCGUGAAAGGACAAGAUAUAACAUUGAAUAAAAUUUUCGUCAUGUGGGCGAUCAUUGAUCUCUCAAAUAAUAAGUUUGAUGGAGAGAUUCCCAAGGUUAUUGGAAAGCUUAGAUCACUCAAAGGGCUAAACCUUUCUCAUAAUAACCUUAGUGGUUACAUUCCCUCAUCAAUAGGGAGUUUGACCAGCCUUGAAUGGCUAGACCUCUCUUCAAACAAGCUGGUUGGAAGGAUUCCAAGGGAACUGCUCAAUUUGACAGCUCUUUCCACGUUAAACCUUUCAAUGAAUGAAUUGAUUGGGUGCAUCCCUCAUGGAAAACAAUUCAAUACCUUUGGAAAUACUUCCUAUGAAGGGAACAAAGGAUUACAUGGUUUUCCAUUGUCAAGUGAUUGCAACAAUAAUGAGCUACCACCACCCUCAAACUUAUUAGAAGAAGGUGGAUCAAAAUCAAAAAUUGGUUUUGGGUGGAAAGUAGUUUUGUUGGGUUAUGGAUGUGGAGUGGUGUUAGGAUUGGGCGUGGGAUAUGUAGUUUUCCAAACUGGUAAGCCAAAGUGGAUUGUGAGUUUGGUUGAAGAUCAUAUUGAGAAGAGGCGGAGAAGAAAGCCAAUGACCGGGGAUCGCAACAAUGGAAGGAGGAGGAUCUAGGCAGAGCAAAUGAUGUUCAAGCAUUUCUGUUGUAUUUUCAUAUAUAUAUAUAUAUUUAUGGUGUGUCUAAUGUUCUGUCUUGACCAGUUUAGCUAUAUGUCUUCAUCUUUAGUAUGGUAUUUCAAUAACAUGUGAGGAUCUAUUCUCAAUGUUAAACUCUUACAUAGUUGCAGCUGUUUAUGUCUUCUUGAAUGACUUCAAUUGGUUUCUUUUUAAGACACCUUUUCAUGAAUGUUUUGAAAAUUGGUUUGAUGGUCCUCAAUUCAAACACUUCAAUCAUAAUUAAAUAAACAAUUAAAAUUCAUAAACAUGAUUAAAAUGUAAAUUUAUUAAAAAUUUAUAAACCAGCAACUCCAACCAGUAAAUUUUAUAAUCUUGGUCUUUCUCAUUAUUGAACAUCCUCACCUACUAAACUAAAAUUUAACUUCACCAACCAAUUAUCCAAAAUAAGAAAAUAAAGGAGGUGUAUAAAGAAACCAAAUAGAAAACUCAAUAUUUGAUUUUGAUGCAAAUAAGACUAAUUUGUCAAUGGAAUUUUUUGAGUCUUUAUAUAGAAUCAAACUACAAAGUUAGACUAAUUUGUCAGUGGAAGAACAAUUGCUGGUGAGCCGUCUUCCUUCUCUUGUUUCUGGUUUUCCAUUAUUGACCGCCUAUCUUUUGUUUUGUUCUUAUAAUUUUAUCUCGUAUUUUCAGGAAUAUACUGAACCGACUUCGGAUAUGCCUCUUCCCGAUUUGCAUCCUCUAGAACGGCAUGUUUUCACUCUUGUCCUACAUCUGAACGAGACAUUACUUUAUACACACUGGAAGGUAGGAAUUUGACUUAAAAUUAUUUUCCAUUUCACCUUUAUGAAAUCCAAAACCUUCCCUUUUUGGUUGGCAAAGCGAGAGAGACCUUCAAAAGACCUGGAGUUGAAUAUGGGAAUUUGAUAGUUUCCAUUGUGGCUACCAUUUUUAAUACACAAGUAUAUCAGCACUGAUGUUGCCUGCAACUUCAUAACUAGUUUGUUUUUGGCACUGAUCACGAAUAUUAAUUAUAACACUUAAUUAGUAUAAACGAAAAGAAUAUGGUAUUUUGUAUUUAUAUUUAGAUUGCAAUAUUAAUUAAAUUUAUAUUCUAUUCUUAAAUUCAAAUAUAAACUAAGAGGAAUUUUAUUGGAGUAACAUAGCACUUGUAAAAGUGAGAAUUUAGUAAGACAUUUGAAGAGUGUUGUGUAAUUUGCAACGCUAGAAAGCAAUCAAAUUAAAGCUAAAAGGAAUUUAAAGGGACCAAAGAUGAAAUUUAACCAAAAGGGAAACGCUAGAAGGAGGGCUUGAACCUCCGACCUUGUGGUUAACAGCCACACGCUCUAGCCAACUGAGCUAUUCCAGCUUCAGGAUAAACCCUGAUAGUUGUAAUACACUCAAACUUCUUAUACUCUUUGUAUAUUUGAAGUUUAAUCUCUAUACUUUUAUUUUUAGAGAUUUAGUCUCUCUACCUUUCAAAUCUAAAAAUUUAAUUUUAUUUGUUGACACUGUUAAAAUUAUUCUAUUAAAUUUGUUGGCGUGAUAUGUGAAUUUAAAAAAAAAUAAUUCACUUGAUAUACAUGUAAUAGAACUUGACAUUGUAAUGGACUUGAAUUUUGUAGUUGGAUAAAAGAGAAAUAUUGACUCCAAUUUAAGGAAAAGUAAUGAUUUCCAAAUAAUUUUAUUAGAAUUCUAAUCUAACAAAACUAAUUUAUAUAAUAUACACAAACUAAUUCUAAUAUAACACGACUUUCAACAAUGAAUUAAUUUUUAAAUAUACGUGGAUUGUCAUAUGAAUGACACCUUAGUAAUUAAUUAAUUUUUAAAAAUAUAAAAAUAAAAGUAAAAAUAUAUAAAAAAUAUUUAAUUGUUGGUGUGACAUACACAUGUACUGUCAUGUGGAUGCCACGUCAACAAAUUUAAUAGACAUUAAUUUUUCUAUCUAUUUUGAGGUGAUUUGAUAAAUAAUGAAAGUUUAAGUAUUAAAAAAGAUGAAAAAUUAAAUGAAGGGCUAAAACAGGCGAGAGGCCGAAAACUUUUUGAUAGAAGAGAGCAGGAAAGCCGUCUUUAUCUAAAGCUUUAAGAGGUUGCAUUGAUUUUACCGCUUACUGUAAAUCUUCUUCUUUAAACGGAGAUGAUAGUUCCUCAUUAAUUUGAUCAGAUAUGCAAGGUUGGAUUUCCUUCCAUAGAUUCUUAUUUUCCUCCAUCUGUUUUGAUGAAAAGAACUCUUUAAAAUACCUAGAUGCUACCUCUAAUAAUUCAUCAUCCCCUUCAACCCAUUUACCUCUUUCGUCUUUAAGUCCCUUUAUCAUAUUUCUUUUUUUUUUUCCGAAAGGAAGCAAAAUUAUGGAAAAAAAAAGUUGAAUUUUUAUCGCCCAUCUUAAGCUAGUUUGCUCUAGCUCGCUGCUCCCAAAAAAUUUCUUCUUUAUCAACCUCCAUAUUCAAUGCAAGCUUAACUUCCAUGAUUUCCAAUAAAUGGUCAUCAUCUGGAUCUUCCAAAUAAAGUUCGGCAAGCUUUUGGUUUAAGUUUUCUCUUCUUCUAAUGCGCCUCCAUUUAUUUAUCUUAUCCCAUUCUUUCAAAGCAUUACUUAAUCUUGUGAGUUUUUUUGGCAAUUCGUCCUGGUUUAAUUCCUAUACUCGUUUUAUUUUCUCUUCAAAACCUUCUUCAAAAAUCCAAUUUGCAUUGAAGCGAAAAGGAGAAUUCCUCAUGUUCUCUCUAUCGUUUUGGCUUCCUAGUGUGUCCAAAUGAAGUGGGUAGUGAUCCAAGAAGAUAUGGGUUAAAUAUCUCAUUGAAUAUCCUAAAAAACAAUCCCACCAUUCCGGAUUAGCCACUUCUCUAUCCAAUCUUUCUUGUAUAUUAUUUUAAGCUAGACGUCCUCUUUCCCAAAUAAACUAUUGUCCUAAAAAUCCUAGAUCAUUCAAAUUACAUUCUUCAAGUACUUUUUGAAAAGCUUCCAUUUGUCUUUCUUCUCUCUACCUACCCCUUUUUUCUCAAAUGAGAACAUAAUUUCGUUAAAAUCCCUUAUGACUAACCAUGGUAGUUGAUGGUAUUCUUUUAAUCUUUCUCAGCAUAUUCUAUGAUUCCCUCUUAAGAUGUUUAGCUAGGGCCCACAGAAUCCUGUAAACCUCUAUUCUGCCAUUCCAUUAACAUCUCCCACCUCCACGUUAAUACGGGAUUUUGAAAAACUAAUAAGGUUUAUUGAAAUCCCUUGUUUCCAUAUAAGAGAAAGGCCUCUACGUGAUCCUUCUGCACUUAUAUAAAUUCCACUGUCGAAACCACACUUUUUUCGAAUCCUCUCCAUCUUUCUUUCAUUAACUUUUGUUUCUAUAAGGAACAAAGUUGGGGCUGGUGUUGUCUUAAGAAAUUUUUGAGAAAUCUUAUAGUUCGCGAUUGCCCCAACCUGCGAACAUUCCAACUAAGAAUUUUUAUUGUAGCCUGUUGACCUACUUAUUAGCAGCCGUCGAUAAUCUAUUUUUUGGAAUUGUCACCAUGCUACUUGUCUGUGUGUCUUCAAGGAUAGCUAAUCUUUUCCUUUUCUUCCCUUCUAAGAUUGCAAUUGAGUUUUCUUUGUCAUCUUCAAACUCUUCCUCUUCCCUAUUAUUGUUUAUUCUCAUCUGAAAGUCAAUCCACAUCACAUCUCUACUACAACCCUCUAAUACCUCCUUCCCUUUCGAUCGCAUACUUAUUUCUCUCCUUCUCAUUUUAGGUGUCUGGUCGUUCGCUGUAUUCUCUAUGAAUUUGUUUCUUCUUCUUGCCUCUGCACAUACUGUUAACAUUAAUGGGAGACAACAUUAAUGGCAAACAAUACAAAGUGGUGCAAGUUUAGCACCCUAAAGUUGACUUUGAAAGAGUGGAAUGGGAUAAUUUUUUUUUUGGUCAUUGAGAUAAUGGGCUAUUUAUUGUUUGGUCAUUGAACCUCAACUAUAAAUAGGCCUUCUCAUUUCUCAUUUCUCAUUUCAAUCAUCCCAACCAAUCUUUCUCUCUUAGUUUUCUCUCUUCUCCCAUUUGAGAAUUCUUAAGGAAUUCUAUUUGUUUGUAAUAUUUUGGAGAUAAUAAAGUCAUCAUCUGGUGUUAGUGCCCGAGGACGUAGGUAUAAUUUACCGAACCUCGUUAAAACUCUUGUGUUCUUUCUUGUCCUAUUUUUCUUUCAAUAUUUGAGGGUAUAAUAGUAGUAUUUAAUUGUGCUAUUAAAUUACGAUAGAAGGGAUAUUCUGACUAAGGAAAGACUUGGUACUUAAGAGAUCCUUAUGAUCCACCUCUCUUCCCUGGGAAUUGAACUUUGUGUGAUUUUUUAAUACAAUAAUUUACACGCUUCCGACCCUAUUGGAACAACACAUACUUCGCUCUUUACCAUUUUUUUGGGUCUUCUCUUAACCAUCUGCUUUCAUUCUACAUAGAUCUUCUAGGUGAAGCCCUUAUAGAUAGAUCUCAUCCCAAAUUUGUUUCUAGCGCCUCUAUCGUUAAUCUUAGAGGGCAAAAGCUCUCUCCAUACCCUAAUAUUCCGCACAUAAAAUAGAAUAAUGACAAUUUUAAUUUUUAGUAAACAUUAUACUGCUCACCAUAAAAAAAUACAUUUAGAAUUAUAAAAGAUUGAAAUAUUCAAGUUUGAGUUGCAUUUAUAAACAUUUGAUGAUGAGAAUUCAUGAACAUAAGGUAUGGUUUGAGCCUUUGUUGGUGUUAGGAAACAGAAUAAAAAACAAAGCUGAGUCUUGAGCAACAAGCUUCAAUGACUUGCAGCAAAAAAAUGACAAAAGAUUAGGCUGUGAACUUAAGAAAAAAUGCUUGCAAGGAUCAAAAAUCAAAAGAAAGGUUCAAUGGAUAAGCUUUUGUAUGUCUUUGCUCUUGUGUUCGAGUCUUUACGUAAACAAAGUGGUGACAUAUUUUUAUUAUUCUAGAAAUUUUGUUUGAUUUUAUUAUUAAAUUAAAUUUCCUAAAAUCCCCCUCUCCUCCUACUUUUUUUUUCUUCCCUCUCCUUCUUUAUUUUUGUUUCCUAGGGCUUCAUUUCCCCUCUUUUACUCCUCGUUUGGUUAUUUUGUUGGCGCGUCUCAUUACUUCUUUCAACGGUAAGAUUAAUCUUUUAAGCUCUAGGUUGAAAUUUGGUUAAUUGUUGCUCUUUGUUCGUUUUUGCAAAGAAUCUGUUUCCUAUUUAUUUUUCCUCGAUUCCUUUGUUUAUGUGUCAAUUGAUUGUCAUUUUUAGGCGAAGAUCCUGAAAGUAGCAUUCCCUCAAUGCGUUAGUUCGAUAUAUCACUGUUUUGUAUGAAGUGAGUGAGUAAAUUUUUCGAGAUUGGUGUUCUUCAUCGAAAAUUUUGACAUAACUUUGUUGUUUGACUUUUAGAGCAUUCCUUUGGGAAUUAAUUGUUGAAUGGUAUUUGGUUGUUCGUUGUUAGGUCCCGGAGUCAUUCUUGUUGCUUCUAAGUCGAUUCUACUUCAGGUGUGUGAUGAAACCCAUUUUUUUGCAAAUUUUGAAUACUAGAAAACAUUACUCUCGAUGCCACACGGUCGUGUCUCAGGCCGUGUAACUCUCUAUUUUCAAAUUGGAGGCACACGGACAUUUGUCUAGGCCAUGUAAUUCACUAUUUGUAUUUUGGGUUACACAGGCUAGGAACACAGGCGUGUGUUCAGGCCGUGGGUACUCGAUACCCUUUUUGACAUGUAGGGCUGGACAGAGAUGGUGUAUAGCAGAUGACGGUAGGGAAUCUGCAUUCUUUAUCUGUCAUAAUCUGUAUUUGUAACUGAUAUAAUCUGUUCUGCUUUCGUAUCUGAUUCUAAGAACUAUUUAAACUUCGAGAAACUGCAGAUUUAUUUUGCAGUUUUGCUUAAUAAAAAUUAUAAGUUAUACACUAUGUCUAUUGACUCAUUUUGUCUGUUUGACUGAAUUUAAAGUAACUCAUCGACUUGGGCGGGUCGGCGUGGCGAGAGCUCGGUCAUCCUUAUCUAGUAUUUUGCCACUUUAAUUAAACUUAUAUCAUAGUUGUUUUAUCCUGAAUUAUGGAUUUUAAGUUUGGAUUUCUGCGUUGAUUCAAUUAUUUAAACGUUUUUUGACAAUUAAACUUUAAUUAGUCAAUAGUAAGAUUUCUUGAAAUGAUUUGAUGUAGCCUCUCAGGCUUGCGUCUAGAUUAGGUAUGAGGAGUUACAUACUCUCUUAACUUUUGGUAUUUGAAUAUUUAAAGAGAUGAUUUGAUUAUUUGAUUUUGGGACAUAGAGGUAGUGAUAAGCCAGACAUCCCAAAAAUAAUUCCACUUGUCCCAUCUCCAUACAUUUCAAACAUACUAAAAUCGGCAGGCAAGCAUUACAAGACAAUUUACAGCCGCUUCAACAAUUUUUAUAUUUAAUUGGAGGUCAAAAACACAUAAAAAGACAACCAGACAGCUAGUAUUUCAUCCAAUCUUCACAACAUGUCUGUAUGCGUGCAUAUCCUUAGCUUUCCCGAAUCCUUUAAAGCAUAUUCUAUUAUAAAAUCACAAAUUUCCGUUAACAGACAGAUAAAAACCUACAUAACAAAUAAUUAAUUACUUUGGUAUUAAUAUAAAUCGGAUUGUUUGCUUUGUUCAAUACAGAUUUUUAAUCAUUCAAUUCACUCUCACUACUGUUUAAAUGAUAAAUAAAUUAUAUAAGUAUGGAAAUAUACAUGUAACAUUAUUUAAACAAAUCUUUUGUUUAAUUUUGGAUAUUAUUUGUUGCCUAUAAAUACCAUUCCUAUCCUUCAUCUUCCUCUACAAACAUAACAUGGUGUCCUAUCUCUUUCUCUGCCUAUUUCUCUUCUUUCCCCAUCUUUAUGCUUCUUUUUCUUCUUCAGGAUCUCACUCCUGCUCUCACCCUGAAGCUGCUUCACUGAUCCAGUUCAAGAAUUCCUUUUCCAUCACUCAAACAUGGUUUGCUGCUUUGUAUUGCGAUGAGAUUGCUGGCCUUAAAUCUUAUCCCAAGACAAAUUCAUGGAAGGAGGGUACAGAUUGCUGCUCAUGGGAUGGGGUCACUUGUCAUCACCUAAAUGCUCAUGUUAUUGCCCUUGACUUGAGCUGCAGUUGGCUAUAUGGCAACUUCCCUUCCAAUACCACUCUCUUCCUUCUUCCUCACCUUCAAAAACUCAACCUUGCCUACAAUGAUUUUAAUCAUUCCAAAAUUCCAUCUGAGUUUGGUCGGUUUGAAAGUCUAGUAUAUCUCAACCUUUCUCGUACGUUGUUUGUAGGAGAAGUCCCAUCCCAAGUCUCCCACCUGUCAAAAUUGGUUUCACUUGAUCUCUCCUCUUGGAUUUAUGACCUAACAUUUGACAAACAUGCUCUGGAGGGACUUGUUCAGAACCUAACCGAGGUCAGACAUCUGUUUUUGGAUGAAAUCAACAUGUCUUCUAUUAAUCCUCAUGUCUUCACGAAUCUAUCCUCUUCUCUAAGGUCUCUUAUUCUUGCUGGUUGUGAUUUGCAAGGAAAAUUCCCAAAAAACAUUUUUGAUUUGCCAAACCUCAAUUUCCUCAACUUGGGAGGCAACCAAAACCUCAAUCUUGAUCAUUUGAAGUUCAAUCGGAGUAGCAAUCUUGAAUAUUUGGAUCUGAAGUGGGUGUCAUUCUCUACAGAAUUCAUUGAUUCAGUUGAUAAUCUAAAGGCCUA